UGGAAGCAUAAAUUUUUAGAUCAGUGAUAAGAUAAAUCCUGUGUACCGGUGCUUAGUAGCUAGCGAAAUGCGGCUGGUAUUUUUGGUCUGUAUGUAGGUAGCUUCCUGAUGUGUGUGGCUGUGUGUUCAUUCACACAGACCUGAACUUAUUUAUGUUUUUCGUUGGCUUCAUUUUAGUAAAGAUGGGGUGGGGAAAAACUACACCCUAUAUAUGUAAGUUGACUGAAAAUAAUAAUAUGUUCCAGUAGCUAUAUUUCUUCGGUUCCUAACAUGGUUGUAGGCUAGAUGUUCCUCUUGGUUUGUCUUGCUAUAGAACCUGCCCCUAUUCAUCUGUUACACAUUUUGUGUAGCUAUUAAGGAAGAAAGUAAUGGACAUUCACAGGUCAGAGUCUCCCCAUCAGCAUUUGAUGGCAGGAGCCGCUGCUUUACAGAAGAUGGAUGUGAAACCAAAAUCAUAUUUUACUAACUUUUAUUUACUUCAUAUUAUCAUUUAGCAGUAUGUUGGUUGUGCCUCCCCGUGAUCAAUGUAGAUCUUCUGCAGAUGUAGUGCAUGCAGUUCUCUCAGGCGUUAAACUUCUCAAUGGUUGACCAUGGAAAAUCUGUGUAGCUCUUGUUUUCUCCAUAUGUUUCUGGUUUCGAGCUCUUACUCCUUUUGAAAUUACCAUCUUUAAACAUUGUAGAUUCCAAUCUCUUGUGUAUUUACAUCAAAGACUGUUUUCGAAUGCUUAUUAUGUACUAAACUCCCUGCCCCCUCCUUCUGUCACAUGUGUUGUUCCCUUGUCAUCAGUGAGCUCGAGAAAACACAACUACAAGGUACAGAAUAGUUGCCACUUAGUUAGCAUUUUAGUUAACAUUGUAGACAUGUUAGUAACACUAUAAUGUUGGACAAUAAAUGAAUUCGACUACAUCCAAAGGAACUUAUCUUGCUUCCAAGAAUAGUAAAAUCAUCUUUAAUAUUUUUCCAAAUUUCGCUUAUAUUCAUAUUUCUUAACAUGUUUGGAAUGCCGUUUCCUCCGAAAUGCAGCAUUUACCUUCCAUUUGGAGCAUAGGAUGCAUUUUUAUCAGUUCCUGACUGAAAUAACCACUUUUCUGAUAAAAAUGCUAUCCAUCAGUUAGACUUGAUUAAUUGUCUUCUAGACACACCUUCAAAUAUAUAUAAGUUCUCUGAUAAGGUAGUUGUGGGAAGACUUAUUUUUGGUUUACAUUGUAAAAAAAUUCAAUGACCACAGAUUUGACUUUCUUUUUUGCUUCUUUUCAGCUUUCAGGUCCUAAAUGAGAAGGUAAGGAUGUACUUGAGCAGUAUGAGAAGACCCAGUUCCAUCAUCUCAGAAGCUAGAAGUUCCCCAUUUAAUAUCUUUCAUUCUGAAAUUUGUUUAAGAAGAUGGUCAUUCUUCUAUUAGCAGCACGAUUAUGUGUCAAUUGUAGAUUCUUAAUUGCUUAGAAAUAUUUUAUAUGUUUGAUUCCUUCGAUUCAUAUUUAUUCAACAACAAAAUAUUUUCAAGAUUGGUCCGUUUGAGGAUCAAAUUUCAGACGUGUUAAUUGAUGUGGUAUCAAGCUAAGUCUGUUGAUACCUUGCUCUCCUUUUUGCUUUGCACAAUUAUUCUCGUCACUGGAGAUGUAUAUUAAUCUUCUAGCUUUGCUCAUUUUAUCUUUUAGUUUCAUCUUAGUUGAUAGAAUAUUGUGCCAUGUGUUCACAAAUUACAUGGUCUUGUGGACUAUUUCUUCCGUUGCAACGCACGGGCCUUUUGCUAGUAAUAAUAAAAAGGAAAAACAACAAACAAACAAAAAAACAGAUGAUGAUUUCAAUUUAGAUGUGACAUAAGAAUGUCACAUCUAGAUGAGUCCUAGACAGACCCUUUGGUUAAUCUUGUGCGUAUAUACGCACGAUAGAGUCCAAACUCAGUCGGACACGUAGAUCACCUUCUCUAAACUAAUUCGAACUUUUGGUAACAACACUUGAAAUUUGACUCCUCAAAUCUGACGUUUCGUUUGCCGUGUGACCGUGCCGGGAAUUCAAUUUUCUCUUGCAUGGCGUGCUCCUCGGCUGCAAACCAAAUAAGGAAUAUUUUGCAGAAACUGUUAAGAGUGACCUAGUUAUAUGAAGCUCAUCAUCAUGCAAGCCCAUAUGAAAUCAUAUAUAAGUCCAUAAAAUUUACGUCGUGCAAAGGACUCUAUUAGAAAUACCAGCGACGGUCCAUGCUGAUUACAUAGCCAGCAAUAAGCCAGCUAGAAGCUCCCCGCAAAAAAAAAAGCUAUCGAGAUUUUUAUAAAUUUACCAUUUAAUUCUUCUAAUUUCUAAGGCUUGUUAUUUUAGCCAUAAGCAUGAUUAAAUCCAACUAUGAUUAGAUUGUAUUUUGGAAUAUUUAUUUCACUAAUUAAAUCAAAUGGAAACUCAAAAUAAAGGAGUCAUGAUUUAAUUAUUGAUGCCUAAACCUCGCAAAGGAGAAAUUUGGUAAAACACAAGGAAAGAAGGACGCUAAAAUUUUAGUUGGUGGAACUUAUCAGACAACAUUGAACCGAUUGUUAGCUUUGUUUUGUCAAAAUUGCUCAGGAGAAUUGUGAACAUUAAAUUCCUCCCAAUAAAAGCACAAAUCAACCACAAAAAAUAAAGAUACAUGUGCCAGAAAUAAGCUAGGUAUAUGCUAGAUAAUAAUCCAUAAAAAGCAAAACACUUGUUCUUCCAUUAAGUGUAUGUCUGCGUCUUCUCAUAAAACAGAAGUGUGUUUCUGACAAAUAACUGAAUACUUAUGCAAAAACAAGCUAACUAGAUUUGGACUAGAGAAGGAAUAAAAAAGAUUACAUCAAAGUCCUCCGUGUCCCACCAUGGGUAUUCAACAAGUGUUCCCAUGUCGGGGUUAUAAUACGCCAAGUUAUUCAUGUCAACCAUAAUAUUAUCUCCUUGACUAGUUUGACGCUGAAGAUCUGAUAAUCCGCCUUGGUACACUAUCUCAUCAUCAAAUGUGGCUAGCAGACGAACAGAAGAUGAAAAGCCAAAAGCAUAGUGUUGCUCCCACUGUUGCGGUUUGUUGCCUUCCGCAUCAGCGCACAUCCAUAUCUCAACUGAUCCAUAGGUGGGCGCUAGACGAAGGACGGCUAACUCACCGUUCAACUCAGCUACGCUGUAUUCUGAAUAGGGAGUGUGAAGAGCAUUUGGGGAAUUUCUGGAUCGUUCCACCCCGAUCCAUUCUUUCUGCUGAUUUAUAUAUUGUUUUUACAAUUUACAUUUUAGACCCUAUAGACUCACCUAAUUACAUUAUCUACACACCAACACCCCCCCUUAAGAUGGGGUGAAUAUGUCGUACAAACUCAUCUUGCUACAAAACAUGGAAAAAGUCUUUUCUAAGAGUCCUUUUGUAAGUACAUCUGCUACUUGACUUGACGAAGUUACAUAUGGUAGGCAAAUUAUUCCUCUAUCAAGCUUCUCCUUGAUGAAAUGACGAUCAAUUUCUAUGUGCUUGGUACGGUCAUGUUGAACGGGGUUAUUUGCAAUGUCAAUGGCAGCUUUGUUGUCACAGUACAACAUCAAAGGCUUGUACUUAUACAACCGCAGCUCUGUUAGGAGAAUCUGCAACCAUAAUAACUCACAUAUGCCGUGAGCCAUAGACCUAAACUCGGCCUCUGCAGUAGACCGAGCCACCACACUUUGUUUCUUACUUCGCUAUGAAACUAGGUUUCCUCCAAUAAAUGUACAGUAACCAGAUGUUGAGCACCUGUCAUCUAGGGAACCAGCCCAAUCAGCAUCAGUGUAGCACUCAACUUGCAAGUCCCCUUGUUUGGUAUAUAAGAGGCCUUUUUCUGGGCACCCUUUAAGAUACCGUAGGAUCCUAUUUACAGCUUCCAUAUGAACUGAUUUUGGGUCAUGCAUGUAUUGGCUAACUACACUCACAGCAAAGGCAAUAUCUGGACGGGUAUGAGAUAAAUAUAUUAACCUUCCAACUAGUCUCUGGUAGCGCUCUCGAUCCACUGGUGUCCCAGCAUCACUACAUAACCGAUGAUUUUGCUCAAUAGGUGUAGCAGCAGGUCGACAACCAAGCAUACCUGUUUCCUUGAGCAGAUCCAAGAUAUAUUUUCGCUGCGAGAGAAAAAUACCUUUUGACCCUCGUGAUACCUCUAUACCAAGAAAAUAUCUUAGUUGUCCCAAGUCCUUCACUUCAAACUCAUGUGCAAGAUGACACUUCAGAUCUGCAACUUCCUUGGAAUCAUCUCCAGUAAUCAAAAUGUCAUCGACAUACACUAUCAAGAUUGCAACCUUGCCAUUAGUAUGCUUGUAAAAUAGCGUAUGGUCAGCAUUACUUUGAAGAUAACCCCUCUUUAGCAUAGCAUGUCUAAACCGAUCAAACCAAGCACGUGGUGAUUGCUUUAAGCUGUAUAAAGAACGAUGUAGGCGCAAUACCUUUCCAACAGUUUGACUUGACUCAAAUCCAGGUGGUAUAUGCAUGUAUACUUCUUCUUGGAGAUCACCAUGAAGGAAAGCAUUCUUCACAUCCAUCUGGUAAAUAUCCCAAUCAAGGUUUACAGCACAUGAUAUAAGUGUCCUUACUGAAUUCAUCUUUGCCACCGGUGCAAAGGUCUCUUCAUAAUCGAUUCCAUAUGUUUGCGUGUAGCCUUUUGCUACAAGGCGGGCUUUGUACCUCUCCACCUUGCCCUCGGGGGUGUGUUUAAUAGUGAAGACCCACUUACAACCUACAGGUUGCUUACUUGGUGGUAGAUCCACAAGCUCCCAAGUCUCAUUCUUCUCCAAGGCUUUCAUCUCAUCAAGCAUUGCUUCCUUCCAAUUUGGGUCCUCUAUAGCUAUUUUCCAGUUUGAUGGUAUGGAGAUAGAAUCUAAAGAUGCAAUAAAGCUUUUGAAGGGUGGAGUACAAUAUUUAUAGGAAAUGAAAUUGGCUAUAUCAUGUUUAAAAUCCUUGAGGUGUCCUGGAAUAUUUCGAUUUCUAGUAGGUUUCCUCACAGCAAUAGGUAGGUCAUUUUCAGGAGCAAGGAUAGAUAACUGGUUAUCGCUCUGCCUUGUGGUGCUAAUAGGAGCGACUAGACUAGAGGGAUUAUUGUUAGUACCUGGAUCCUCAUGCCUGUGAAGCUCACCAUCUUGUGAAGGAAGUAAAGAGUUUCCUGUUGCAUCUUGUAUGUCUCCAUGACCAGAACCAUGAUUACACCCAUCACUAUUUGUGUCCUCCCCCUGAUUUUGAGCAUUAUCUAGAGUAGGUAAACCAUCCGAAGUGGAAACAAGAAUAGGGCUUAAUGGAGAGCCUUCAUUAUCCCCCUCCCCUUCUUGUUGCACUUCAGGUGGAGAUAGGGCAAUGCCAGUGUCACUGGUUAAGCCAUAAUAUGAUUCAUGUUCACGGAAUGUCACAUCCAUGCUCACAAAAAAACGGUGCUCCAAAGGGCACCAACACCUAUAACCCUUUUGAGAGGGAGAAUAACCCAUGAAAAUACAUUUGAGAGCACGGGGAUCUAAUUUUCCAACAUAGUUCCUAUAAUCAUGCACAAAGCAAACACACCCAAAGACCUUUGGAGGAACUACAAAAUCAUUAGAUUUCAAGAGACACUCAGCAGGAGUCUUAUGGCCAAGAACCCAAAGAGGCAUACGGUUUAUCAAAUAUGUUGCAGUUUUUAUUGCUUCCCCCCAAAGAAAUUUAGGCACGUUCAUUGUAAACAUAAGUGAGCGUGCAACCUCAAGCAAAUGUCUAUUUUUACACUCUGCAACACCAUUUUGUUUUGGAGUGUUAACACAGGUAGUUUGAUGUUCAAUGCCGUUUGAGACAAGGAACUGUUCAAACUCCUGGUUCAUGUAUUCUGUACCAUUGUCUGAACGUAAGGUUUUAAUAGUUGCCCCAUGUUGAUUUUUAAUGAGAGCAUAUAGAUCUUUAAAAACUAAGCACACAUCACUCUUAUGCUUCAAGAGAUAGAGCCAAGUGUAACGACUAAAGCAAUCGAUAAAAGUUACAAACCAUCGAUGCCCAGAGAUCGAACGAACCUCACAGGGUCCCCAAACAUCUGAGUGAAUUAUUUCAAAUGGUUUGGCACUUCUUAAUCCUAUACUAGGAUAUGAACCUCUUGUAUGUUUAGCCAAUUCACAAGCAUCACAUACAAGCAGUUCCCUAGGGCACAACUUGAAAAGUGAGGGGUAAAUACGAAACAAUGCAGCAAAAGAGAGAUGCCCAAGCCUGCGAUGGUGUAGUAGUAGUUCUUGACUAGGAGACAAGCAUGAUGCAAAAGCAACUUCAUCACUCCCUUCAUCAAGAUAGUAGAGUCCAUCAUGCACGGUCCCAGUCCCCAACAGUCUCCCUGUCUCUAGCUCCUGAAAAGCACACCAGGUAGGAUAAAACAAACCUCUACAAUUGAGAGAUUCAGUAAUAGAGCUAACUGACAAGAGAUUGACUGGAAAUUUAGGAACAUGUAAGACAUGAGGUAAGGACAAUGUCUUACUGCACCUAACAGAUCCACGUCCCGUGAUAGGUGCCAUGGAUCCAUCAGCUACACGUACUUUGUCCUUACCUGAGCAAGGUGUAUAGGAAGUGAAUAUAUUUGAAGCUCCUGUCAUGUGAUUGGUAGCUCCUGUAUCAAUAAUCCAAGAUUUUGAUUGCAUUGUAGAAUUGUGGGCCUGGUGAGGUGUUAUACCUUGGAGUGAAGUGGCAUGCAAACUAGUUUCAGCUUUAGAGGAAUCCUGGAAGGAAGACAAGUCUUCUGAGAGUCUAAUCUUGGAGGUGAAAUCCUCAAGAGCUCGCACAUCUACUACCGGUAGCUCCCUCUUGGAUGUAGUGAGAUUCGCCUGUCUUUUAUGAGCUCCUUGACCUUCUCUGGCUGAGAUUUUCCUUUUUCCCACCAAGUUGGAUAACCAUGCAGCUCAAAGCAUGAAUCCUUUGUGUGUCCAAGCCUUUUCCAGUGGUUGCAAAAUAGUUUGCUUUUAUCUAUUUUAGCAAAGGUCUUAGGAGCACGACGAGCUUGUAUGGAUAGGGCUGCACAUGCAUCUGAUUUUUCUUGAACAUGCUCAUUGGGUUGAGCAAGACGGGUCUCCUCCUCAAUCACACUGGAAAUGAUAUCAUCAAGGCUUAGCCAUUCAGUUUUGGAGAAUAUUAGCUGGCGGCGGAGAUCAAACUCCUGAUUUAGGCCAUCAAGAAAGAGCUUGCCCACAAAUGGUUCAAACCAGGUAUGGUGAACAGCCACAUCAUUCUUAUCAACAGGUUGAAAAGGAUGGUAAUAAUGCAACUCCCUAUACAAUCUCUUCAUCUCACCUGCAUACUCAGUCACUGAUUUUGAGCCUUGUUCAAGUUAGUCAACUCGUGCAUGAUGCGAGUAGCCUGCAUCUUAUUUGAUUUUCCUGAAAAUUGCUUCUCCAAAGCUUUCCACACUUCAAAUACAGAGGUCAAAGUCUCAACUUGUUCUCGUAUCGGUGGUUCCAUGCUUCCUAAUAACCACACCAAAACUCUAUCAUUGAUCUGUUUGGUGAUAGUACCACUUUUCAGUUUCUCUUCAUCGGCACUAAGCAAUUCUUCAUAGCCAUGAGAACUCAUAAUUAACUGGGCAUGCCGUGCCCAGCUGAUAUAAUUGCCCGGUCCAGCCAACUUCACUGGAUUAGGCUCAAGUGCAUACUUGACAGCUUCAGGAACCACUUUGAGUUGUUGUUGUUGCUGCUCAAAUACUUUGCUUAAAAUUUCAUACAACUUAUCCAUACUAGUAUCCCCUGAUUUCCCCUUUGUUGGAUCUGCCAUGAUUUACCGCCACACAAAGAAAAAACCAGACACACAGGACUUGGUUUUUGCAGAUCUCCACUAACAACAACACACAGGCAGUACAAGCAGAGUAGAUACUAGCCAAGCAGAUAUACUAGUGCAGGUUGCUCUCAAAUGCGCACAGACUGCACAAGUAUUUUAAUACGGCCACUAGGCAAAGAUGAGCUAUCCGGCUGCACUAAUCACGGUUCUCCAACGGCAGCCACAAGUACUAGUACCGGCUGCACUAAUCAAUAAAGUAUAGAAGACAGCUUACUGCUUGGAGAGACGGCACAACGGCAACCAGCAAUUUUUCCGCGGCAGCACAACAUCCAUUUCUCAGCACAGGGAGUAAGCACAGAUGCACCGGGAGGCAGUCAACAGGCUACCUUAGAUUGGGCGCAGCACUCGGUGCCGUAGCUUGGAGAUGAUGUCGCAGGUCUCGGCAGCAGCUCGCGAACGACGCAGCUCAAGUGCCCACAACCGUAAAUCACGGCGACACAGCACCGCAAUUAGCCGUCACCAAGGUCGAAAUCACACAGGAUUAACCUGCUCCGAUGCCAUGUUGAAAAUCAUCUGAGAUUUGAGGGAUUUGAACUAGGGAUUGGAGGGAGUGUGAAGAGCAUUUGGGGAAUUUCUGGAUCGUUCCACCCCAAUCCAUUCUCUCUGCUGAUUUAUAUAUUGUUUGUACAAUUUACAUUUUAGACCUUAUAGACUCACCUAAUUACAUUAUCUACACACCAACAGUCGGGUCCUUCAAGCCGUGGAGGACCCGUCAUGAUGUUAAAUGACUCGUCCUCGAGGCUAAACCAGACAAAGCACGACAUACGUGCACGAUCAUGUAAAACCAAGUGAUCAUAUUCAUACAUAAGUGAGUGUUGGUCAACUAUCCAGAUCAAGGAACCCUUGAAGAAGGUGGCAAUUCGCCCUACUAGAAAUGGGUACGGUGGUUGUGCGGCCGUCUCAUGCCAGUGGUCCUUUCCGAUAGUGAACACCUCCAUCCCAAUACCACCCAUGGCACGCUUUUCACGAUAGAAGAAGCGAGCGGCCUUGUAGGCGUUGGAGCGAUGGCUGCGACCAAAGCCAAACGCCUGGUGGCCUUUGUGUGUACGACACCGGCGCGGUGCGAUGCUGUUGGGGCUCCAAGGCAGCUCGAGGACUUGGUGUGUGUGGUUGGAUUGAGCACGCGCACGAUAUCCUCAGUCGGCAACAACACAAGUCCAUCGCAGUGUGCGAACCCGUGCCUGAUCCGCGUCUCCUCCACAGGGAACGAGGAGGUGUCAUGUAAGAGGGUCGAGGCAUGCUGCCGGCUCUCCUCCCACAAGUACAAUCCCGGAUUGAUGACCUCAUACCGGUCUAUCCUAGAUUCGACCACUUUGCGAUAGACACGUGGUGCGAUGAGCAGGCUAUGGUAUUUUUCUUUUUGCUUGCGAAGUCGGUGGAGGUGCGACUGAGCGAAGGAAGGAUCGCCGGAGAUGGUGUCGCGCCAGUCCUUGCAGACGCACCUUAUCCGCCACAGUGAUUUGACGGGCAGACGAACUAGGAUUUCCCACACGAUCAGCUCGUUUGGCAGACACGCCAUCUUCGCCGAUUGUGUUGGCUGCCGAAGCCGUCAGGACGCGAGGACCAAGUUGUGGCUGCGUUCGUAUCCUUCUAUUAAGCCUUUGAUUUGAUUAUUAAUCUUGUGCUUAUAUAUGCCCACGAUAGAUUCCAAACCGAGUCAGACACUAACUCGAACUUCACCAUCUAUGGGAACUAACUCGAACUUUUGGUAACAACACUUGGAAUUUGUCUCGGAACUUGUUGCCUCCUGAAAUCCGACGUUUUGGUUGUUGUGUGACCAUGAACGGUGAGAGAAAUGCAAAAUAUUCUUCACCUGGAAUUCAAUUUUCUCUUGCGAUGCAGCCAUGCAUGGCGUCCUCCUCGGCUGCAAACCAAAUAAGGAUUUUUUCCGAAGAAACCGUUAGUGACCCAGUUAUCUGAAGCUCGUCAUCAUGCAAGCCCCGGCCUUAUGAAGUCAUAUCAAAGUCCAUAAUAUUUACGUCGUUUAAACAAACUUUAUUAAAAAUAGCAGUGACGGUCCUUGCUGAUUACAUAGCUAGCAAUAAGUAAGCCCGCUAGAAGCUAUCUAGAUUCUAACUAAGGUCGGAACAUAAAAUAUUACAUCGAAGCUUUUGACGGUCCUCCAUGAGUACUCAGCAAGCGUGCCCAUAUCGGGGUUGUAAUAUCUCAAGACAUUCAUGCGCGCAAUAGCCUUUUCUCCUUGACGAGUUCGACGCCAGAGAUAGUCCACUGUAUCUUGAUACACUAUCUCGUCAGUCGUCACCAAACGUGGCAAUGAGACGCAUAGAAAAUGGGUAAUCGAGCACAUGCCGCUGAUGCCACCGUGGCAGGUCGUUGCCUUCCACGUCAUCGCACACCAUAUCUCGACCAUUUCACUGUUGGGCCCUGGAUGAGGCAUGGCUAGCUUCCCGUUCACCUCGGCAAAGUUGGUGUCAAGAUAGUCGGCCCCUUUGUACCAUGGAGGACCGGUCAUGACGCUGAAUGACUCGUCUUCAAGGUUAAAACGGACAAAGCACGGCAUGUUUGCAGCAUCAUCGAGAUGUGAGUAAUCAUACAUAGGCGAGUAAUGGUCGAUUGUCCAGAUCAAGGAGCCCUUGAAGAAUGUCGCCGUUAGUCCAGCUACGAAAGGGUACGGCGGUUGCACGGCUGUCUCACGCCAGCACUGGUCCUUUCCGAUAGUGAACACCUCCAUCCCGAGACCGCCCAUGCCGCGCGUUUCACGGUGGAAGAAGCGGGCGACCUUGUAGGCGUUGGAGCGAUGGUCGCGUCCGAAGCCGAAUGCCUGGUGGCCUUCACCUUGGGGGCACCGACGCGGCGCAACACUGUUCAGGCUCCAUGGCAGCACGCGGAUUUGGCGUGUGGCAGGGUUGAGCACACGCACUGUAUCCUCGGCGGGCAGAAACACGAGCCCGUCGCAGUGCGUGAGCCCAUGCCUUGUCGCCGCCCCCUCGGCAGGGAAUGAGGAGAUGUCGAAUAAGAGGGUCGCGAUGUCCUUCUGGCUCUCCUCCCACAGGUACAGCCCCGGGGAGGUAACCUUCAUAUCGGCCCAGGGUCUUCUUGUGUCGCGGGGAUCUUCCAUGUCACUUUCGCUUUUGAUACGUGGCGCGAUAAGCAGGCUGUAGGGCUUCUUGACUUGCUGAUGAAGGUGGUCGAGGUGCGCCUGAGAGAAGGAGGGGUCGGCGCCGGAGAUGAUGUCGCGCCAGGCCUUGCAGACGCACCGUAGCCGCAGCAGCGACUUGGUGGGUAGCCGGACCAGGAUCUUCCACGCGAUCAGCUCGUGAGGCAGGCACGGCAUGGUCUCCGGUCGAUGGACCAACUUGGGGCGUCCAUCGUCAGCCAUCUUCGAGCGUUUUGGCUGCCGCUGGUAUGAUUUGUGGCAGCGUGCAUACACAUUGUGGGAUUUCGAGCGUCCAGCAUCAGCCCUAUAUAAGCACGUACAUACUCGACCGAGUCGGACAUGGAAACUGUAGCUAACUCGAACUUGGAAAUUUGGAUAACAUGGAAAUUGACUCGGACUUGCCUCCUGAAAUCUGAUGUUUCGUUUGCCGUGUGAGGUGUGACUACGAACGGGAAAAAUAAUAAUCUAAAACGUUAUUCUCCGGGAAUUGUUCACGGCAUCGUCCUGGACCACAAUCCAAAGUCGGUUUCAAAUCGAAAAUUAUGUUGAACUAAAUUGGGGCUCGAGUUUUUUUAACACAAUACACACACAGACUCUCAUACAUACGCGCGUACACUCACCCCUAUGAACGUAUGCACAUACACCUAACCCUAUGAGGAUCUUCGAGAGACUGAACCGACAUCAUCUUGAGAUAGACAAAAUCAACUCAGAUGUCACUGUAGUCGACGGUCACUAUGGCAGCGGCCCAUCUCCUCCGUGCAGGCGUCCGGGCAGGAGGACAGUCAUUGUCGAUGGUGGUGGUGUCGAUCUCCGACACUGGCGCGCUCCUACUACUUCGCGUGGCGCGCCACCUUAGCCUUGGCAGAACCCUUCUCCCUCGUGAGGCGCUCCAAAGCUUCGGUCCCUAGCUAGAGCGCCUUCGCAUUUUGCGUCGGAGGCGCCUGGCGUCCGUCUCCGUCGAGGUUAGUGAAUGGUGCAUGACCUCGCGGAGGAGAUGCUGCUGUGGGUCGAUGGGGAGGGAGCAGGAGCGUUGGCAGGAGGAGUCGACCCUCCGCCUUUGCCCGCUUAAGCUCGCGGCCGUCGUCCUUGGCCUCUGACUCCGGCAUGCGCAUCCGGAAAUGGGUGGUCGGGUUUGGGCUCGUUAGGUUUUGUCCGAUGUCGUCUAACAACGCGUCACAUGGGCCGUCUUGCCCCGGAUUUGUGGCGCCUGAUAGCAGGCCAAUCCAUUAGGUUUUCAUUCAGACGCCACAAGUCAUCCAAUCAGCGUUAUUUGAAAACUGUCAGCACAGUGAUGACGGUUUUAGAAAAGAAAAAAAAGAAUGAUAGCGGUUUUAGAAAAAAAAAUGAUGGCGGUUUUAGAAAGAAAUAAUGAAUCAUGAUGGCUUCCUGAAUUAGGAUCAAUGGAUGGGGCUAGAAAUUAUACACCGGCACAAACCGAACAAAACUGUACACAUGUACUCUCCCAUCGUACAGCCUCGAUCUCCUUUGAUCGAUCCUCCUACCCUCCUAGGGCGUGGAGCAGCGACAUCUUGGAAAAUAUUUUUAAAAUAAACUUUACCUUCUAUUAUACUUGUGAGAAAUAUUUCACAAAAAUAAAAUCGCUCUUUGACUUCUUUUCAAAAAGACAAAUUUACGGUCAACAGUGACCUAUAAUAACAAAUAAAUUUGGAAAAGCAUUGAAAUCAGUCGGAUGAUGUACACGCUUCAUAAGUUGUCUCCAGUGUGCGCCACGCGUCCGAUGGGCACACGUGCCGCUUAUCUCUCUUCCUCCCGAUGCGCUGAGCCACUCAUUCUUUCUUCANNNNNNNNNNNNNNNNNNNNNNNNNNNNNNNNNNNNNNNNNNNNNNNNNNNNNNNNNNNNNNNNNNNNNNNNNNNNNNNNNNNNNNNNNNNNNNNNNNNNNNNNNNNNNNNNNNNNNNNNNNNNNNNNNNNNNNNNNNNNNNNNNNNNNNNNNNNNNNNNNNNNNNNNNNNNNNNNNNNNNNNNNNNNNNNNNNNNNNNNNNNNNNNNNNNNNNNNNNNNNNNNNNNNNNNNNNNNNNNNNNNNNNNNNNNNNNNNNNNNNNNNNNNNNNNNNNNNNNNNNNNNNNNNNNNNNNNNNNNNNNNNNNNNNNNNNNNNNNNNNNNNNNNNNNNNNNNNNNNGCACAUUGCUGCACCGCUGCUACAAGUUGUCGUCGCCUAAUGUCGCUGCACCGCUGCUGCAAAUUGUUGUCGCCACUCACCUCAUGCUGCCGUAGGCUAGGCUGGGCAGAAGCUGCUGCCAUGGCCGGCGGGACUGCGUGCAACAGGUGAAGUAGAGCAGGCUCGCCGGCGUUGCGAUGAAGCAGCGCAGGGGCCGCCGGAGCUGCAGUGAAGCGUGGCGGCACCGACCGUGUGGUGUUGCAUGCUAGCCGACUGGUUGCAGCAGCCGGUGAAGAAGAGCAGACUCGCCGGAGUUGCGAUGAAGCGCCGCCAGAGCUGCGAUGAAGCUCGCUGGAGUUUCAAUGAAGUGCGGUGGGACCGUUGAAGCUUCGUCGGUGCUGUAGUGGAGCACCGCGGCGGGUCGCCGGAGGUGCAAUGGAGCGUCACCCGGGCCCCGUCGGUGCGGCCAUGACUGGGUCGUGGUGUUGUCUGAUCAUGCGGCUGGGAGUGUCUGAUCAGACGGCUCUGAGGGCGACUUAAAGUUGUAACAAAUCAAUCGGCUGAUUUGUAGCAGUCGUCAAUAAAUUUUGUCUUUUUUUGCCCUGAAGUCAACUUUUUUUCGUGAAAUUUGUAUACUAGUGCAUAACAAAGUCAAGUUUAAUCUGAAAAUACUUUUAAACUAUUUUGACUUUUGUUUAAUUAUUAAAAAAAAUCUUCAUAUAGGCUAUAUAUAUAACCAGAAACCAUUAGGUAUUCCUGAGGAUGCACACACUAUGGGCCAGUUUGGUUCACUUCCUGAGCGUAGUGCGUCUGGCCUUGCCCUGGGGCCUCCCUGGGAGCUGCCUGGCUCCUGUUUGGUUCGAAUCCUCGUGACCAAGGAGCCACCCUGGCCAGAGAACAAGGCAGAGCAAUUAGCCUGGCCGCUAAACCAGGCAACUUGGUUAGCCUGGUCCACGCAAACCUUUUUGAAAGCCUGGGCUUGCCUGGAGCGGCAGCCUGGGUUGUUUAAUCGGAGCCGUAUCCUUUAACAUACCCAAAGGAUGUCACGUAAGCUAUAGUAACCGAGGGGUUUAUCCUUUCCUUUCGGUUGUCAGUACGAGAGGUCAGUGGGAUUUGAAGGAGGAGCCGAUCUUGUUUCCAGAUCCUUCCAUUCGUGGAUUAUCUUGGGGAGAGAGAGCUGUUUGUGCUGUAGUUAUUAGGAAACUGCCCUUUUAUGGCAUUUCAAUCAUGGUUAAUUGCAUCAAUUUUAUUUUCGAGGCUGAAUGGAAGGGGACACUGGCUUGCUAUAUUUGUGGUCACGGGAGAGGCUGUUUCUCUUCCGGUUCCUCACCAUUGCAGAAUCACUUGUUCUCUGCUCCUUCCAUUCCUUGUGGCAGCCUAGUGAAGUGUUCCAUGGCGGGUCAGGGAGAGAAUGUGAGUAGGGCGGUGGGGAAGAAACAUGUGAGUGGAGUGGGUUCCAAGGGGGUGAUGGACGCCAUGGAGGGAGGGGGCUCUUCGCCGGCCAUUGUCCAAGCUGGUUCCUCUCUUAGCCGGCCUCUUGUCAUUGACAUGGAGGCUGCUCACAAGGCCAUCAACGGGCUGCUGGUGGUGGGGCGCCUCCUGUCCCCUUUCCAGGUCAACCCGAGGGUCAUACUCCUCCGGUGCACGGCUUGGAAGAACCAGGGUGUGGUCACCAUCCAAGAGGUGGCCAGCGAAGACGGGAGGUUCGUCCUCAAUUUUGCCGCUGAGAGUGACCGUCGGUUUGUGCUUAAGGCGCAGCCAUGGCACUUCAAGCGGGACGGCCUCAUUUUCGCCGAGUUCGACGGCAAGGGCGACCCUAGGCCUAGGCGUUCGAUAGAAACCAAAAAUUCGGUUUCUACUGUUUGGUUUUUUUUACAAGUUCGGUUAGUCAAAGUGAAAACCGAAGUAGACACAAAAAUUCAACUAACCAAAAGUUCGGUUAACCGAUUUUUCGGUUCGGUUUUCAGUAUUAACCAAACUAGGCACCAAGUACAGAAAACAUAUUUUUUUUCAUCAUGCACUGAAUUAACAGUAGAAAGAAUAAAUUCAAAACGACACUGCAUUAAGUGUUUACUCGACCCAGGCUAACUGUUUUGCGCGUUGUACCCAUUGUACCCUGUCUUCUUAAGUAGCCAAGCUCACUGUGUCAUCCCGUCUAGCUAGCCGAGGUGGGAUAAAUCCAAGUGAAAUAUCGUACUGUGCUGCCAGAGAGAAACUAUUGUGCAAAAGUGUGGGCCUUGGAUGGUUGCGUGUACGUGGAAGGCCCAGGGGAGGUACAAGGCCGUCCAUGACACGCACAUGCGGCCACGCGAAGUACCUGGGCGCUGGGAUUUUGCGUGUUUGAUCACGUUACUUCGGUUUCUGUUCCGGUUAUCGGUAUAACACCGAACAGUCCGAAUUAAAUUCGGUUAGUAUAAUUGAAAACCGAAUUUUACUGUAGUAGUGACAAAAACCGAAAAUUCGGUUUUUACGGUUUCGGUCUUCGGUUCGUCGGUUUUUAUGCCCACCCCUAGGUGACCCGGCAGAGGUCGACCUUGGCGUCAUGACCAUAUGGGUCCAGGUACGCGAUCUCCCGUUCGAGUUUAAGACGGAGAGUGUAGGGUGGUCUCUCGAGGAUCAACUGGGAGAGGUGCUGGAGGUUUCGCACCGUAACCAUGUAAUUGUUGAGAAAUACCUGCGUCUGCGUGUGAAGAUAUUAUUGCAUGAGCCUCUGAAAUGCUCUGUAGAGAUUACUCCUUUAGGUAGUUCAAAGAUCUUCAAAUAUGAUGUAAAGUAUGAGAAACUACCUUUAUACUGUGAGUGUUGUGGGAUAGUGGGUCAUACAUCAGAGAGGUUUUGUAAAAUUCCAAGAGAGGAGAGAGUAGUUUAUUUUCCUAGAAACCUUAGUGUUGAGCCCUACUGGAAGAGCCAAGGUGCUAGCAGGAGGGGUCUCCUCUUCGGGAACUACGUUCGCGGCGGCAACAACUCGACUACAGGCAUCGUCAACAACAACAUCGCCAAGGCCACGGACGUCAUCAAGGUGGCUACUGCCGUGAGUGGUCUCACGGUCUCCGAUAAGGGAGUCGUUUCUUCCGACAAGACGACCACCGGCCAGGAGGGUCAGGCUAAGGGGGUCGUACUGCCUACUCCGGUUGGGGCGUCGCUUGGUCAGGAGGACCAGGCGGGCGCGCCGGCUGCGCUUGUCAGGCGGAGCCAUGAGGUACAGUGUCAAGUGCCCUUGCAGGACCUGCGCCAGGAUGGGGAGCAUCUCCAGCAACACAUGCAGCCCACUGCUGCUCCAGACCAGACUAUCCUGGCGGGUCAGGGGGGCCUGUGUACUAUGGCGAUGGUGGUGCCCAACCAAACCCCAGAGCAGGGCCAACUCCUAUUCCAGACGGGAAUGCUUGAGGCACUAACCAGUGCUGUGGCUGCUAAAUUUGCUGCAGCAAAUGCCAAGGGAGAAUUUGGGGAGCCUGGCUCAUCUUUUAUUUUCAACGCCACUAAAUCUGCUACGCAGGGACACGAAAAGGUGAAAGGGAAAAAGGCUAGAAAGGAAGGAGGUGCUGAUCGUUCGGUGGAAGACCGUGAGAAAACGAUAGGCAAAAAGAGAAGACCUCUUUCCGAUGCGUGUCCGACGGGUAGUAAUUUAGUGUUUUCUUUUGAGAAAAAUAGCAUGGAUAGUCUUGAGCGCUUGUUGUAUGAUGAUGUAAAUGUCUCAAGCAAGAGAGUUUGUACGGGUAGAGUAGAGACGGUAAAAGAUGUGGACGGUGUUGUUAGCCACGUAGCGAGGGAGACGGGUGAGAAGGAAGAAGAGUAUGUGCAGGAGAGAAGGAAGUCAGUUGGAGACGAUGGCGCAUCAGCGGCCUCCGGUGAGGACGUCCGCCGGGCCAAAUGAAAAUCCUUGGUUGGAACUGCCGUGGGAUGCUAUCUACCACGGCAGUUCGAGAGCUCUUGGACCUUCAAGAGCGGGUUCGGGCAGACUUAAUUUUUCUUUCAGAAUCCCACUUGAAUAAUUGUAAAGCCGAUGAGCUAUGUCGGGUCCUUAGUUUUGAUUCCAUGUUUGUGGUGGAGAGUGAUGGUCGGGCCGGGGGCCUUGUCUUGUUUUAUUAUAAAGUGAAUACAUUUGAGUUGAACUAUAUCUCGACUAAUUUUAUUGAUAUUUUGUUUAUGAAUGAGGAAGUCGUACAGUGGCGUUUCACGGGUUUUUAUGGUCAUCCGAACUGGAGUGAUCGCAAUUUAUCUUGGGAGGAUAUUCGUAAUUUGUAUCAUAAGGGUAAUCAUCCAUGGGUGAUUCUAGGAGAUUUUAAUGAGAUUUUAUAUUCCUUGAAGAAAGAGGGGGGCAACGCGAGACCGAAUGGAAUGAUGAAGGAUUUUCGUGAUUGUCUAGCAGAAUGUGGCUUGGAUGAUAUGGGGUUCAUAGGCGACCCCUUUACAUGGAGGAGAGGUGAGAUUAGGGAACGUCUUGACCGUGCAGUAUGUAAUGUACAAUGGGUGCAUAAAUUUCCUUGGGCGGCUAUGAUUAAUGAAAACCAUGUACAUUCUGACCACCGGCCGUUAGUUUUGGAUAUGGAUUAUUUUGACGGUAAUAUGUUUACGACGUUGAAUAGGGGUAUUAAAAAAUUUGAAGCCAGAUGGCUUAAAGAAGAAACUGUUAGUGAAAUUGUCAAGACAUCGUGGGAGAAGGCAAAGCUGGCUGGUAUUGACCCGUCGCUCGCAGACAGGACCCGAGCAGUACACGCCGAUCUACAUUCCUGGGAUCGUGAGAUCUUGAAGGGACCAAAACAGAGAAUUAAUAAAUUAAAAAAAGAGUUAGAAAAAGUGAAACGUGGCCCUAUGAAUAUAGAUUCCCUUUCUAGGCAGAAAGAAAUUGUAGUUCUCAUUGAGAAUCUGUUGGAUCAGGAAGAGAAUUUUUGGUUACAGAGAGGUAGAGCAAAUUGGUUGAUGCACGGAGACCGAAAUACUUCCUUCUUCCAUAAUGCAGCUACUGCUAGGAAAAAGAGAAAUAAUAUCAAAAAACUUCUCGAUGAUACUGGGGUCUGGCGACAAGAUACGGAAUUGAAGGAUCAUAUCACAGAAUAUUUUAAAAAGCUUUUUACCUCAGAGAUCGAGCAACCUAAUCAGGAUGUGUUAUCACUGGUAAAGAGGAGAGUAUCUACUGAGAUGAACAAUGCCCUCCUUUCUCCGUAUACGGCUGAUGAUGUUCGUAAAGCCUUGUUUGACAUUGGGGAUUUGAAAGCCCCAUGGCCGGAUGGGCUCCAUGCUAUUUUCUAUAAAUGGUUUUGGCCAAUGUUAGGAGAUGAUCUGAUCGAGGAGGUUUUGAAAGCAGUAAACACUUGCACUAUCCCAUCUGGUUGGAAUGAUACUGUGAUUGUGAUGAUACCAAAAGUCAAUUCUCCGGAGAAGGUAACCCAGUUUAGACCAAUUAGUCUGUGCAAUGUGGUGUAUAAAGUUAUUGCAAAAAUGAUUGCCUCUCGCCUAAAGGUGUUCCUACCAGAUAUUAUUAGCCCAACUCAAAGCGCAUUCAUGCCUGGAAGACUUAUUACGGACAACGUAUUGGUGGCAUACGAAUGCUUCCACACCAUCAAGAAAAAGAGAGCAGGCAAAGAAGGAUUAUGUGCGAUAAAAUUGGAUAUGCAUGAAGCUUAUGACCGGGUUGAAUGGCCUUUUCUCAAGGAGAUUAUGCUCAAACUUGGAUUUCGUGAGGUGUGGGUAAAUUUCAUUAUGGAGUGUGUUUCUACUAUUGAAUAUCGUAUUCGGUUUAAUGCGGAGGAAAGUGAAAGUUUUAAACCUACUAGGGGUCUGAGGCAAGGAGACCCGCUAUCUCCUUACCUAUUCCUGUUAUGCACGGAGGGUCUCACAGCUAUACUAACGCAUGCGGAAGAAAAUGGGAAUAUUUCAGGAGUAAGGGUUUGCAGAGAUGCCCCAUCUGUCACGAACCUUCUUUUUGCUGACGACUCUUUAAUCCUUAUGAAAGCAAAUUUGCAAAGUGCGGAAACAUUAAAAUCAGUUCUAGAUUCGUAUUGCGCAGCUUCAGGGCAGACGGUCAGUGUCGACAAAUCCAGCAUCUUUUUUAGCCCUAAUACGGGAGUGGACACUAGAGAACAAAUGUGUACAAUCCUCAAUAUAAUGACUGAGGCCUUGAAUGACAAAUAUUUAGGACUACCGGCCAAUGUGGGUUUAGAUAAAACCGAUUGUUUCCAAUACUUAAUCGAUCGUAUUGUUCAGAGAAUUAGUGGUUGGAAGGAAAAACUUCUGUCGGCUGGAGGAAAGGAGAUCCUACUUAAAGAGGUUGUUCAACCUAUUCCCACCUAUGCAAUGUUGGUCUUUAAAAUUCCUAAAAAAAAUUGCAAAGGAAUUAUUGACGCGAUGGCGCAUUUCUGGUGGGGAGAUGAGGACAACCAAAGGAGGAUGCAUUGGAUGGCUUGGUGGAAAAUGUGUGUACCCAAGAACCAAGGAGGAAUGGAUUUUCGGGAUAUCCAUUGUUUCAAUUUGGCUAUGCUUGCUAAACAGGCUUGGCGUCUUCUCGAGAAUCCGGAUUCUCUAUGUGCUACUAUUUUGAGAGUCAAAUACUAUCCUGACGGUGACUUGUUGAACACUGACCUGAAGAAGGGAUCUUCAUUCACCUGGCAAAGUAUUAUGGCGGGUGUGAGCUCCCUGAAGCGUGGUCAUAUUUGGCGAGUGGGAAACGGGCAGAAUAUUGACAUUUGGGAGGACGCAUGGAUUCCAAAUUGUGCAAACCGUAAAAUUGUUACCCCUAAGGGAGGACAGUUGUUACGGAAGGUAGCAGAUUUGAUUGAUCCAAUCCUAAAUAGUUGGGAUAAAGAUCUUCUCAGACAGACUCUAUGGCCUAUUGAUGUUCAGCGAGUGCUUACGAUCCCGAUAUCGCAACAUGAUAUGCCAGAUUUCAUAGCUUGGAAUUUCACAAAAAAUGGGAUUUUUUCAGUUCGGUCUGCUUAUUUUGUGGAAUGGGACCACCAAUAUGGGAACAAGUUACGAUAUAUCAAUGGGAUGGGACGUACCACGGUCAAUCCUAUUUGGGCGAGGAUUUGGAAACUUGCUUGUCCAGCAAAGGUUAAAAUAUUUAUUUGGCGUACACUUCACGACACUAUUCCGUGUCGUGUUAACUUAGCUAAUAGGCAUGUGAAAGUCUCGCCUAAGUGUCCUGCCUGCUCAUCUGGGCCAGAAGACACAAAACAUUUGUUGUUUCUAUGUGACAGAGCAAAAGAAGUUUGGACAAGACUAGGGAUGGACGAUAUUUGAAGGAAAUAUGUCCUAGAGGCAAUAAUAAAGUUAUUAUUUAUUUCCUUAUAUCAUGAUAAAGGUUUAUUAUUCAUGCUAUAAUUGUAUUAACCGGAAACAUAAUACAUGUGUGAAUACAUAGACAAACAGAGUGUCACUAGUAUGCCUCUACUUGACUAGCUCGUUAAUCAAAGAUAGUUAUGUUACCAUGGAUAAAGAGUUGUCAUUUGAUUAACGGGAUCACAUCAUUAGUUGAAUGAUCUGAUUGACAUGACCCAUUCCAUUAGCUUAGCACCCGAUCGUUUAGUAUGUUGCUAUUGCUUUCUUCAUGACUUAUACAUGUUCCUAUGACUAUGAGAUUAUGUAACUCCCGUGUGCCGGAGGAACACUUUGUGUGCUACCAAACGUCACAGUAACUGGGUGAUUAUAAAGGUGCUCUAUAGGUGUCUCCAAAGGUACAUGUUGGGUUGACGUAUUUCGAGAUUAGGAUUUGUCACUCCGAUCGUCGGAGAGGUAUAUCUGGGCCCUCUCGGUAAUGCACAUCACUUAAGCCUUGCAAGCAUUGCAACUAAUGAGUUAGUUACGGGAUGGUGUAUUACGGAACGAGUAAAGAGACUUGCCGGUAACGAGAUUGAACUAGGUAUUGGAUACCGACGAUCGAAUCUCGGGCAAGUAACAUACCGAUGACAAAGGGAGCAACGUAUGUUGUUAUGCGGUCUGACCGAUAAAGAUCUUCGUAGAAUAUGUAGGAGCCAAUAUGGGCAUCCAGGUCCCGCUAUUGGUUAUUGACCGGAGACGUGUCUCGGUCAUGUCUACAUUGUUCUCGAACCCGUAGGGUCCGCACGCUUAAGGUUUCGAUGACAGUUAUAUUAUGAGUUUAUACGUUUUGAUGUACCAAAGGUUGUUCGGAGUCCCGGAUGAGAUCACGGACAAGAAGAGGAGUCUCGAAAUGGUCGAGACAUAAAGAUUGAUAUAUUGGAAGCCUAUGUUUGGAUAUCGGAAGUGUUCCGGGUGAAAUCGGGAUUUUACCGGAGUACCGGGAGGUUACCGGAACCCCCCGGGAGAUAUAUGGGCCUUAGUGGGCCUUAGUGGAAAAGAGAAGAGGCAGCCAGAGAUGGGCCGUGCGCCCCUCCCCUCCCUUGGUCCGAAUAGGACAAGGAGAGGGGGCCGGCCCCCCUUCCUCUUUUCCCCCCUCCGCGAAUCAUAUUCCAACUAGGAUUGGGGGGCGGGGCGGGGGGAAUCCUACUCCCGGAGGGAGUAGGACUCCUCCUGGCGCGCCACCUCUAGGCCGGCCGCACCCCCCCUUUGAGCCUUUAUAUACGGAGGCAGGGGCACCCCCUAGAGACACAAGUUGAUCCACGUGAUCAUAUUCUUAGCCGUGUGCGGCGCCCCUGCCACCAUAGUCCUCGAUAAUAUUGUAGCGGUGCUUAGGCGAAGCCCUGCGAUAGUAGUACAUCAAGAUCGUCACCACGCCGUCGUGCUGACNNNNNNNNNNNNNNNNNNNNNNNNNNNNNNNNNNNNNNNNNNNNNNNNNNNNNNNNNNNNNNNNNNNNNNNNNNNNNNNNNNNNNNNNNNNNNNNNNNNNNNNNNNNNNNNNNNNNNNNNNNNNNNNNNNNNNNNNNNNNNNNNNNNNNNNNNNNNNNNNNNNNNNNNNNNNNNNNNNNNNNNNNNNNNNNNNNNNNNNNNNNNNNNNNNNNNNNNNNNNNNNNNNNNNNNNNNNNNNNNNNNNNNNNNNNNNNNNNNNNNNNNNNNNNNNNNNNNNNNNNNNNNNNNNNNNNNNNNNNNNNNNNNNNNNNNNNNNNNNNNNNNNNNNNNNNNNNNNNNNNNNNNNNNNNNNNNNNNNNNNNNNNNNNNNNNNNNNNNNNNNNNNNNNNNNNNNNNNNNNNNNNNNNNNNNNNNNNNNNNNNNNNNNNNNNNNNNNNNNNNNNNNNNNNNNNNNNNNNNNNNNNNNNNNNNNNNNNNNNNNNNNNNNNNNNNNNNNNNNNNNNNNNNNNNNNNNNNNNNNNNNNNNNNNNNNNNNNNNNNNNNNNNNNNNNNNNNNNNNNNNNNNNNNNNNNNNNNNNNNNNNNNNNNNNNNNNNNNNNNNNNNNNNNNNNNNNNNNNNNNNNNNNNNNNNNNNNNNNNNNNNNNNNNNNNNNNNNNNNNNNNNNNNNNNNNNNNNNNNNNNNNNNNNNNNNNNNNNNNNNNNNNNNNNNNNNNNNNNNNNNNNNNNNNNNNNNNNNNNNNNNNNNNNNNNNNNNNNNNNNNNNNNNNNNNNNNNNNNNNNNNNNNNNNNNNNNNNNNNNNNNNNNNNNNNNNNNNNNNNNNNNNNNNNNNNNNNNNNNNNNNNNNNNNNNNNNNNNNNNNNNNNNNNNNNNNNNNNNNNNNNNNNNNNNNNNNNNNNNNNNNNNNNNNNNNNNNNNNNNNNNNNNNNNNNNNNNNNNNNNNNNNNNNNNNNNNNNNNNNNNNNNNNNNNNNNNNNNNNNNNNNNNNNNNNNNNNNNNNNNNNNNNNNNNNNNNNNNNNNNNNNNNNNNNNNNNNNNNNNNNNNNNNNNNNNNNNNNNNNNNNNNNNNNNNNNNNNNNNNNNNNNNNNNNNNNNNNNNNNNNNNNNNNNNNNNNNNNNNNNNNNNNNNNNNNNNNNNNNNNNNNNNNNNNNNNNNNNNNNNNNNNNNNNNNNNNNNNNNNNNNNNNNNNNNNNNNNNNNNNNNNNNNNNNNNNNNNNNNNNNNNNNNNNNNNNNNNNNNNNNNNNNNNNNNNNNNNNNNNNNNNNNNNNNNNNNNNNNNNNNNNNNNNNNNNNNNNNNNNNNNNNNNNNNNNNNNNNNNNNNNNNNNNNNNNNNNNNNNNNNNNNNNNNNNNNNNNNNNNNNNNNNNNNNNNNNNNNNNNNNNNNNNNNNNNCGCCGGUGACGAUGGUGAUCAUGAUGGUGCUUCGGAGAUGGAGAUCACAAGCACAAGAUGAUGAUGGCCAUAUCGUAUCACUUAUAUUGAUUGCAUGUGAUGUUUAUCUUUUAUGCAUCUUAUCUUGCUUUGAUUGACGGUAGCAUUAUAAGAUGCUCUCUCACUAAAUUAUCAAGAUAAAAGUGUUCUCCCUGAGUAUGCACCGUUGCCAAAGUUCGUCGUGCCCAGACACCACGUGAUGAUUGGGUGUGAUAAGCUCUAUGUCCAUCUACAACGGGUGCAAGCCAGUUUUGCACACGCAGAAUACUCAGGUUAAACUUGACGAGCCUAGCAUAUGCAGAUAUGGCCUCGGAACACUAAGAUCGAAAGAUCGAGCGUGAAUCAUAUAGUAGAUAUGAUCAACAUAGUGAUGUUCACCAUUGAAAACUACUCCAUUUCAUGUGAUGAUCGGUUAUGGUUUAGUUGAUUUGGAUCACGUGAUCACUUAGAAGAUUAGAGGGAUGUCUAUCUAAGUGGGAGUUCUUUAAGUAAUUUGAUUAAUUGAAUUUAAAUUUAUCAUGAACUUAGUACCUGAUAGUAUCUUGCUUAUGUAUGUUUGAUUGUAGAUAGAUGGCCCGUGCUGUUGUUNNNNNNNNNNNNNNNNNNNNNNNNNNNNNNNNNNNNNNNNNNNNNNNNNNNNNNNNNNNNNNNNNNNNNNNNNNNNNNNNNNNNNNNNNNNNNNNNNNNNNNNNNNNNNNNNNNNNNNNNNNNNNNNNNNNNNNNNNNNNNNNNNNNNNNNNNNNNNNNNNNNNNNNNNNNNNNNNNNNNNNNNNNNNNNNNNNNNNNNNNNNNNNNNNNNNNNNNNNNNNNNNNNNNNNNNNNNNNNNNNNNNNNNNNNNNNNNNNNNNNNNNNNNNNNNNNNNNNNNNNNNNNNNNNNNNNNNNNNNNNNNNNNNNNNNNNNNNNNNNNNNNNNNNNNNNNNNNNNNNNNNNNNNNNNNNNNNNNNNNNNNNNNNNNNNNNNNNNNNNNNNNNNNNNNNNNNNNNNNNNNNNNNNNNNNNNNNNNNNNNNNNNNNNNNNNNNNNNNNNNNNNNNNNNNNNNNNNNNNNNNNNNNNNNNNNNNNNNNNNNNNNNNNNNNNNNNNNNNNNNNNNNNNNNNNNNNNNNNNNNNNNNNNNNNNNNNNNNNNNNNNNNNNNNNNNNNNNNNNNNNNNNNNNNNNNNNNNNNNNNNNNNNNNNNNNNNNNNNNNNNNNAAAAGGGCAAAGGGAAGAAGAAGGGGAACUUCAAGAAGAACAGCAAGCAAGUUGCUGCUCAAGAGAAGAAACCCAAGUCUGGACCUAAGCCUGAAACUGAGUGCUUCUACUGCAAGCAGACUGGUCACUGGAAGCGGAACUGCCCCAAGUAUUUGACGGAUAAGAAGGAUGGCAAGGUGAACAAAGGUAUAUGUGAUAUACAUGUUAUUGAUGUGUACCUUACUAGAGCUCGCAGUAGCACCUGGGUAUUUGAUACUGGUUCUGUUGCUAAUAUUUGCAACUCGAAACAGGGACUACGGAUUAAGCGAACACUGGAAAAGGACGAGGUGACGAUACGCGUGGGAAAUGGUUCCAAAGUCGAUGUGAUCACGGUCGGCACGCUACCUCUACAUCUACCUUCGGGAUUAGUAUUAGACCUAAAUAAUUGUUAUUUGGUGCCAGCGUUGAGCAUGAACAUUAUAUCUGGAUCUUGUUUAAUGCGAGACGGUUAUUCAUUUAAAUCAGAGAAUAAUGGUUGUUCUAUUUUUAUGAGUAAUAUCUUUUAUGGUCAUGCACCUUUGAAGAGUGGUCUAUUCUUGAUGAAUCUCGAUAGUAGUAACACACAUAUUCAUAAUGUUGAAGCCAAAAGAUGCAGAGUUGAUAAUGAUAGUGCAACUUAUUUGUGGCACUGCCGUUUAGGUCAUAUCGGUAUAAAGCGCAUGAAGAAACUCCAUACUGAUGGGCUUUUAGAACCACUUGAUUAUGAAUCACUUGGUACUUGCGAACCGUGCCUCAUGGGCAAGAUGACUAAAACACCGUUCUCCGGUACUAUGGAGAGAGCAACAGAUUUGUUGGAAAUCAUACAUACAGAUGUAUGUGGUCCGAUGAAUAUUGAGGCUCGUGGCGGAUAUCGUUAUUUUCUCACCUUCACAGAUGACUUAAGCAGAUAUGGGUAUAUCUACUUAAUGAAACAUAAGUCUGAAACAUUUGAAAAGUUCAAAGAAUUUCAGAGUGAAGUUGAAAAUCAUCGUAACAAGAAAAUAAAGUUUCUACGAUCUGAUCUUGGAGGAGAAUAUUUGAGUUACGAGUUUGGUAUACAUUUGAAGCAAUGCGGAAUAGUUUCGCAACUCACGCCACCCGGAACACCACAGCGUAAUGGUGUGUCUGAACGUCGUAAUCGUACUUUACUAGAUAUGGUGCGAUCUAUGAUGUCUCUUACUGAUUUAACACUAUCGUUUUGGGGUUAUGCUUUAGAGACAGCCGCAUUCACGUUAAAUAGGGCACCAUCAAAAUCCGUUGAGACGACACCUUAUGAACUAUGGUUUGGCAAGAAACCAAAGUUGUCGUUUCUUAAAGUUUGGGGCCGCGAUGCUUAUGUGAAAAAGCUUCAACCUGAUAAGCUCGAACCCAAAUCGGAAAAAUGUGUCUUCAUAGGAUACCCAAAGGAGACUGUUGGGUACACCUUCUAUCACAGAUCCGAAGGCAAGACAUUCGUUGCUAAGAAUGGAUCCUUUCUAGAGAAGGAGUUUCUCUCGAAAGAAGUGAGUGGGAUGAAAGUAGAACUUGACGAGGUAACUGUACCUGCUCCCUUAUUGGAAAGUAGUACAUCACAGAAACCUGUUUCUGCAACAACUACACCAAUCAGUGAGGAAGCUAAUGAUAAUGAUCAUGAAACUUUAGGACAAGAUACUAUUGAGCCUCGUAGAUCAACCAGAGUAAGAUCCGCGCCAGAGUGGUACGGUAAUCCUGUUCUGAAAAUCAUGCUACUAGAUCAUGAUGAACCUACAAACUAUGGAGAAGCGAUGGUGAGCCCAGAUUCCGCAAAAUGGCUUGAAGCCAUGAAAUCUGAGAUGGGAUCCAUGUAUGAGAACAAAGUAUGGACUUUGGUUGACUUGCCCGAUGAUCGGCAAGCAAUUGAGAAUAAAUGGAUCUUCAAGAAGAAGAUUGACGCUGACGGUAAUAUUACUAUCUACAAAGCUCGACUUGUUGCAAAAGGUUUUCGACAAGUUCAAGGUGUUGACUACGAUGAGACCUUCUCACCCGUAGCGAUGCUUAAGUCUGUCCGAAUCAUGUUAGCAAUUGCCGCAUUUUAUGAUUAUGAAAUUUGGCAGAUGGAUGUCAAAACUGCAUUCCUGAAUGGAUUUCUGGAAGAAGAGUUGUAUCUGAUGCAACCGGAAGGUUUUGUCGAUCCAAAGGGAGCUAACAAAGUGUGCAAGCUCCAGCGAUCCAUUUAUGGACUGGUGCAAGCCUCUCGGAGUUGGAAUAAACGCUUUGAUAGUGUGAUCAAAGCAUUUGGUUUUAGACAGACUUUUGAGAAGUCUGUAUUUACAAAAAAGUGAGUGGGAGCUCUGUAGCAUUUCUGAUAUUAUAUGUGGAUGACAUAUUACUGAUUGGAAAUGAUAUAGAAUUUCUGGAUAGCAUAAAGGGAUACUUGAAUAAGAGUUUUUCAAUGAAAGACCGCGGUGAAGCUGCUUACAUAUUAGGCAUAAAGAUCUAUAGAGAUAGAUCAAAACGCUUAAUUGGACUUUCACAAAGCACAUACCUUGACAAGAUUUUGAAGAAGUUCAAAAUGGAUCAAGCAAAGAAAGGGUUCUUGCCUGUGUUACAAGGUGUGAAGUUGAGUCAGACUCAAUGCCCGACCACUGCAGAAGAUAGAGAGAAAAUGAAAGAUGUUCCCUAUGCUUCAGCCAUAGGCUCUAUCAUGUAUGCAAUGCUGUGUACCAGACCUGAUGUGUGCCUUGCUGUAAGUCUAGCAGGGAGGUACCAAAGUAAUCCAGGAGUGGAUCACUAGACAGCGGUCAAGAACAUUCUGAAAUACCUGAAAAGGACUAACGAUAUGUUUCUCGUAUAUGGAGGUGACAAAGAGCUCAUCGUAAACGGUUACGUUGAUGCAAGCUUUGACACUGAUCCGGACGAUUCUAAAUCGCAAACCGGAUACGUGUUUACAUUAAACGGUGGAGCUGUCAGUUGGUGCAGUUCUAAACAAAGCGUCGUGGCGGGAUCUACAUGUGAAGCGGAGUACAUAGCUGCUUCGGAAGCAGCAAACGAAGGAGUCUAGAUGAAGGAGUUCAUAUCCGAUCUAGGUGUCAUACCUAGUGCAUCGGGUCCAAUGAAAAUCUUUUGUGACAAUACUGGUGCAAUUGCCUUGGCAAAGGAAUCCAGAUUUCACAAGAGAACCAAACACAUCAAGAGACGCUUCAAUUCCAUCCGGGAUCUAGUCCAGGUGGGAGACAUAGAGAUUUGCAAGAUACAUACGGAGCUGAAUGUAGCAGACCCGUUGACUAAGCCUCUUCCACGAGCAAAACAUGAUCAGCACAAAAGGUCCAUGGGUGUUAGAAUCAUUACUAUGUAAUCUAGAUUAUUGACUCUAGUGCAAGUGGGAGACUGAAGGAAAUAUGCCCUAGAGGCAAUAAUAAAGUUAUUAUUUAUUUCCUUAUAUCAUGAUAAAGGUUUAUUAUUCAUGCUAGAAUUGUAUUAACGGGAAACAUAAUACAUGUGUGAAUACAUAGACAAACAGAGUGUCACUAGUAUGCCUCUACUUGACUAGCUCGUUAAUCAAAGAUGGUUAUGUUUCCUAACCAUGGACAAAGAGUUGUCAUUUGAUUAAGGGAUCACAUCAUUAGUUGAAUGAUCUGAUUGACAUGACCCAUUCCAUUAGCUUAGCACCCGAUCGUUUAGUAUGUUGCUAUUGCUUUCUUCAUGACUUAUACAUGUUCCUAUGACUAUGAGAUUAUGUAACUCCCGUGUGCCGGAGGAACACUUUGUGUGCUACCAAACGUCACAACGUAACUGGGUGAUUAUAAAGGUGCUCUACAGGUGUCUCCAAAGGUACAUGUUGGGUUGACGUAUUUCGAGAUUAGGAUUUGUCACUCUGAUCGUCGGAGAGGUAUCUCUGGGCCCUCUCGGUAAUGCACAUCACUUAAGCCUGCAAGCAUUGCAACUAAUGAGUUAGUUGCGGGAUGAUGUAUUACGGAACGAGUAAAGAGACUUGCCGGUAACGAGAUUGAACUAGGUAUUGGAUACCGACGAUCGAAUCUCGGGCAAGUAACAUACCGAUGACAAAGGGAGCAACGUAUGUUGUUAUGCGGUCUGACCGAUAAAGAUCUUCGUAGAAUAUGUAGGAGCCAAUAUGGGCAUUCAGGUCCCGCUAUUGGUUAUUGACCGGAGACGUGUCUCGGUCAUGUCUACAUUGUUCUCGAACCCGUAGGGUCCGCAUGCUUAAGGUUUCGAUGACAGUUAUAUUAUGAGUUUAUACGUUUUGAUGUACCGAAGGUUGUUCAGAGUCCCGGAUGAGAUCACGGACAUGACGAGGAGUCUCGAAAUGGUCGAGACAUAAAGAUUGAUAUAUUGGAAGCCUAUGUUUGGAUAUCGGAAGUGUUCCGGGUGAAAUCGGAAUUUUACCGGAGUACCGGAAGGUUACCGGAACCCCCCGGGAGAUAUAUGGGCCUUAGUGGGCCUUAGUGGAAAAGAGAAGAGGCAGCCAGAGUUGGGCCGCGCGCCCCUCCCCUCCCUUGGUCUGAAUAGGACAAGGAGAGGGGGCCGGCCCCCCUUCCUCUUUUCCCCCCUCCGUGAAUCCUAUUCCAACUAGGAUUGGGGGGGGGGGGGGAUCCUACUCCCGGCGGGAGUAGGACUCCUCCUGGCGCGCCACCUCUAGGCCGGCCGCACCCCCCCUUUGAGCCUUUAUAUAAGGAGGCAGGGGCACCCCCUGGAGACACAAGUUGAUCCACGUGAUCAUAUUCUUAGCCGUGUGCGGCGCCCCCUACCACCAUAGUCCUCGAUAAUAUCGUAGCGGUGCUUAGGCGAAGCCCUGCGACAGUAGUACAUCAAGAUCAUCACCACGCCGUCGUGCUGACGGAACUCUUCCCCGACACUUUGCUGGAUCGGAGUCCGGGGAUCGUCAUCGAGCUGAACGUGUGCUAGAACUCGGAGGUGCCGUAGUUUCGGUGCUUGAUCGGUCGGGCCGUGAGACGUACGACUACAUCAACCAAACGCUUCCGUUGUCGAUCUACAAGGGUACGUAGAUCACACUCUCCCCUCUCGUUGCUAUGCAUCACCAUGAUCUUGCGUGUGCGUAGGAAUUUUUUUGAAAUUACUACGUUACCCAACAAUAUUAUCAACAGAGAUUGUAAAAUAGACUAUGCGGGUGAGGCAAUCUUGGAAUAUUUACUUUCAUUACCAGAUCAGGAACUAUGUAUUACGGGCACUCGUAAAGUGCGUGACAUGAUUGCCAUAUCAGCCUGGUACUUGUGGUGGGAAAGGCGCACAUUAGUACACAAUGAGACUACUCAGAAUGCACAACAGAUAUCCAUGGGGAUACGCGCUCUCGCUGCCAAUUUUGUUAAUGCCUCCUCGCCGAAGGCUUCCAUGAAAAGAGGAGGAUGGUCUAACCCCCCGACAGGAUUUGUUAAACUUAACGUUGAUGCUUCUUUUGACCACGACCUUCUCAGGGGUACAAUCGGGGCUGUCUUAAGAGAUGACAAAGGUAGGUUCAUCGGUGGGGGAAAUGGUAAGAUUGACUGGUGUGCAGAUGUGUUGAUGGCUGAAGCUUUGGCGUUAAAAUUUGGUCUAUCUCUUGCGCAAAGGACGGGUUGUAAUCGCAUAAUUAUUAACUCGGAUAAUAUGGAGGUGAUCGAGACCAUGAACGAAGGAGGACGAUCCUCGGGGGCAGCUGGUGCAAUUUUUGAUGACUGUUUUCACUUAGCUUGCGAUUUUCCUAUUUCUAGAUUCGAGCAUUAUAAUAGAGAAGCAAAUAAAGUUGCUCAUGAACUUGCCAAGUUGGCUAGAUUUUCUUUCAUUUAUGAUUGGUUUGAGGAACCACAUAAUGCAAUUGUACCGAUCCUCAUAAAUGAUGUAAUGAUUAUUUCUAAUGAAUAAAGCUUGAACUUUCUUAAAAAAACCGUGACAUCCCUUCUUCACAUUGAUAUGAUUAAGCCUAAAAUGAUUAUUUGUUGUUUCUAUGUGACAGAGCAAAAGAAGUUUGGACAAGACUAGGGAUGGACGAUAUUUGAAGGAAAUAUGCCCUAGAGGCAAUAAUAAAGUUAUUAUUUAUUUCCUUAUAUCAUGAUAAAGGUUUAUUAUUCAUGCUAUAAUUGUAUUAACCGGAAACAUAAUACAUGUGUGAAUACAUAGACAAACAGAGUGUCACUAGUAUGCCUCUACUUGACUAGCUCGUUAAUCAAAGAUGGUUAUGUUACCAUGGAUAAAGAGUUGUCAUUUGAUUAACGGGAUCACAUCAUUAGUUGAAUGAUCUGAUUGACAUGACCCAUUCCAUUAGCUUAGCACCCGAUCGUUUAGUAUGUUGCUAUUGCUUUCUUCAUGACUUAUACAUGUUCCUAUGACUAUGAGAUUAUGUAACUCCCGUGUGCCGGAGGAACACUUUGUGUGCUACCAAACGUCACAGUAACUGGGUGAUUAUAAAGGUGCUCUAUAGGUGUCUCCAAAGGUACAUGUUGGGUUGACGUAUUUCGAGAUUAGGAUUUGUCACUCCGAUCGUCGGAGAGGUAUCUCUGGGCCCUCUCGGUAAUGCACAUCACUUAAGCCUUGCAAGCAUUGCAACUAAUGAGUUAGUUACGGGAUGGUGUAUUACGGAACGAGUAAAGAGACUUGCCGGUAACGAGAUUGAACUAGGUAUUGGAUACCGACGAUCGAAUCUCGGGCAAGUAACAUACCGAUGACAAAGGGAGCAACGUAUGUUGUUAUGCGGUCUGACCGAUAAAGAUCUUCGUAGAAUAUGUAGGAGCCAAUAUGGGCAUCCAGGUCCCGCUAUUGGUUAUUGACCGGAGACGUGUCUCGGUCAUGUCUACAUUGUUCUCGAACCCGUAGGGUCCGCACGCUUAAGGUUUCGAUGACAGUUAUAUUAUGAGUUUAUACGUUUUGAUGUACCAAAGGUUGUUCGGAGUCCCGGAUGAGAUCACGGACAUGAAGAGGAGUCUCGAAAUGGUCGAGACAUAAAGAUUGAUAUAUUGGAAGCCUAUGUUUGGAUAUCGGAAGUGUUCCGGGUGAAAUCGGGAUUUUACCGGAGUACCGGGAGGUUACCGGAACCCCCCGGGAGAUAUAUGGGCCUUAGUGGGCCUUAGUGGAAAAGAGAAGAGGCAGCCAGAGAUGGGCCGUGCGCCCCUCCCCUCCCUUGGUCCGAAUAGGACAAGGAGAGGGGGCCGGCCCCCCUUCCUCUUUUCCCCCCUCCGCGAAUCAUAUUCCAACUAGGAUUGGGGGGCGGGGCGGGGGGAAUCCUACUCCCGGAGGGAGUAGGACUCCUCCUGGCGCGCCACCUCUAGGCCGGCCGCACCCCCCCUUUGAGCCUUUAUAUACGGAGGCAGGGGCACCCCCUAGAGACACAAGUUGAUCCACGUGAUCAUAUUCUUAGCCGUGUGCGGCGCCCCUGCCACCAUAGUCCUCGAUAAUAUUGUAGCGGUGCUUAGGCGAAGCCCUGCGAUAGUAGUACAUCAAGAUCGUCACCACGCCGUCGUGCUGACGGAACUCUUCCCCGACACUUUGCUGGAUCGGAGUCCGGGGAUCGUCAUCGAGCUGAACGUGUGCUAGAACUCGGAGGUGCCGUAGUUUCCGUGCUUGAUCGGUCGGGCCGUGGAGACGUACGACUACAUCAACCAAACGCUUCCGUUGUCGAUCUACAAGGGUACGUAGAUCAUACUCUCCCCUCUCGUUGCUAUGCAUCACCAUGAUCUUGCGUGUGCGUAGGAAUUUUUUUGAAAUUACUACGUUACCCAACAGUGGCAUCCGAGCCUAGGUUUUAUGUGUUGAUGUUAUAUGGACGAGUAGAACACAAGUGAGUUGUGGGCGAUAUAAGUCAUACUGCUUACCAGCAUGUCAUACUUUGGUUCGGCGGUAUUGUUGGAUGAAGCGGCCCGGACCGAUAUUAUGCGUACGCUUACGCGAGACCGGUUCUCCCGACAUGCUUUGCACAUCGGUGGGCUUGCGGGUGACAGUUUCUCCAACUUUAGUUGAACCGAGUGUGGCUACGCCCGGUCCUUGCGAAGGUUAAAACAACACCAACUUGACAAACUAUCGUUGUGGUUUUGAUGCGUAGGUAAGAUUGGUUCUUGCUUAAGCCCAUAGCAGCCACAUAAAACUUGCAACAACAAAGUAGAGGACGUCUAACUUGUUUUUGCAGGGCAUGUUGUGAUGUGAUAUGGUCAAGACAUGAUGCUAAAUUUUAUUGUAUGAGAUGAUCGUGUUUUGUAACUGAGUUAUCGGCAACUGGCAGGAGCCAUAUGGUUGUCGCUUUAUUGUAUGCAAUGCAAUCGCGCUGUAAUGCUUUACUUUAUCACUAAGUGGUAGCGAUAGUCGUGGAAGCAUAAGAUUGGCGAGACGACAACAAUGCUACGAUGGAGAUCAAGGUGUCACGCCGGUGACGAUGGUGAUCAUGAUGGUGCUUCGGAGAUGGAGAUCACAAGCACAAGAUGAUGAUGGCCAUAUCGUAUCACUUAUAUUGAUUGCAUGUGAUGUUUAUCUUUUAUGCAUCUUAUCUUGCUUUGAUUGACGGUAGCAUUAUAAGAUGCUCUCUCACUAAAUUAUCAAGAUAAAAGUGUUCUCCCUGAGUAUGCACCGUUGCCAAAGUUCGUCGUGCCCAGACACCACGUGAUGAUUGGGUGUGAUAAGCUCUAUGUCCAUCUACAACGGGUGCAAGCCAGUUUUGCACACGCAGAAUACUCAGGUUAAACUUGACGAGCCUAGCAUAUGCAGAUAUGGCCUCGGAACACUAAGAUCGAAAGAUCGAGCGUGAAUCAUAUAGUAGAUAUGAUCAACAUAGUGAUGUUCACCAUUGAAAACUACUCCAUUUCAUGUGAUGAUCGGUUAUGGUUUAGUUGAUUUGGAUCACGUGAUCACUUAGAAGAUUAGAGGGAUGUCUAUCUAAGUGGGAGUUCUUUAAGUAAUUUGAUUAAUUGAAUUUAAAUUUAUCAUGAACUUAGUACCUGAUAGUAUCUUGCUUAUGUAUGUUUGAUUGUAGAUAGAUGGCCCGUGCUGUUGUUUCGUUGAAUUUUAAUGCGUUCCUUGAGAAAGCAAAGUUGAAAGAUGAUGGUAGCAAUUACACGGACUGGGUCCGUAACUUGAGGAUUAUCCUCAUUGCUGCACAGAAGAAUUACGUCCUGGAAGCACCGUCGGGUGCCAGGCCUGCUGCUGGAGCAACACUAGAUGUUAUGAACGUCUGGCAGAGCAAAGCUGAUGACUACUCGAUAGUUCAGUGUGCCAUGCUUUACGGCUUAGAAUCGGGACUUCAACGACAUUUUGAACGUCAUGGAGCAUAUGAGAUGUUCCAGGAGUUGAAGUUAAUAUUUCAAGCAAAUGCCCGGAUUGAGAGAUAUGAAGUCUCCAAUAAGCUCUAUAGCUGCAAGAUGGAGGAGAACAGUUCUGUCAGUGAGCAUAUACUCAAAAUGUCUGGAUAUAAUAAUCACUUGAUUCAGAUGGGAGUUAAUCUUCCAGAUGAUUGCGUCAUUAACAUAAUUCUCCAAUCACUGCCACCAAGCUACAAGAGCUUCGUGAUGAACUAUAAUAUGCAAGGGAUGAAUAAGACUAUUCCCGAGCUCUUCGCAAUGCUGAAAGCUGCGGAGGUAGAAAUCAAAAAGGAGCAUCAAGUGUUGAUGGUCAACAAGACCACUAGUUUCAAGAAAAGGGCAAAGGGAAGAAGAAGGGGAACUUCAAGAAGAACAGCAAGCAAGUUGCUGCUCAAGAGAAGAAACCCAAGUCUGGACCUAAGCCUGAAACUGAGUGCUUCUACUGCAAGCAGACUGGUCACUGGAAGCGGAACUGCCCCAAGUAUUUGACGGAUAAGAAGGAUGGCAAGGUGAACAAAGGUAUAUGUGAUAUACAUGUUAUUGAUGUGUACCUUACUAGAGCUCGCAGUAGCACCUGGGUAUUUGAUACUGGUUCUGUUGCUAAUAUUUGCAACUCGAAACAGGGACUACGGAUUAAGCGAACACUGGAAAAGGACGAGGUGACGAUACGCGUGGGAAAUGGUUCCAAAGUCGAUGUGAUCACGGUCGGCACGCUACCUCUACAUCUACCUUCGGGAUUAGUAUUAGACCUAAAUAAUUGUUAUUUGGUGCCAGCGUUGAGCAUGAACAUUAUAUCUGGAUCUUGUUUAAUGCGAGACGGUUAUUCAUUUAAAUCAGAGAAUAAUGGUUGUUCUAUUUUUAUGAGUAAUAUCUUUUAUGGUCAUGCACCUUUGAAGAGUGGUCUAUUCUUGAUGAAUCUCGAUAGUAGUAACACACAUAUUCAUAAUGUUGAAGCCAAAAGAUGCAGAGUUGAUAAUGAUAGUGCAACUUAUUUGUGGCACUGCCGUUUAGGUCAUAUCGGUAUAAAGCGCAUGAAGAAACUCCAUACUGAUGGGCUUUUAGAACCACUUGAUUAUGAAUCACUUGGUACUUGCGAACCGUGCCUCAUGGGCAAGAUGACUAAAACACCGUUCUCCGGUACUAUGGAGAGAGCAACAGAUUUGUUGGAAAUCAUACAUACAGAUGUAUGUGGUCCGAUGAAUAUUGAGGCUCGUGGCGGAUAUCGUUAUUUUCUCACCUUCAUAGAUGACUUAAGCAGAUAUGGGUAUAUCUACUUAAUGAAACAUAAGUCUGAAACAUUUGAAAAGUUCAAAGAAUUUCAGAGUGAAGUUGAAAAUCAUCGUAACAAGAAAAUAAAGUUUCUACGAUCUGAUCGUGGAGGAGAAUAUUUGAGUUACGAGUUUGGUGUACAUUUGAAGCAAUGCAGAAUAGUUUCGCAACUCACGCCACCCGGAACACCACAGCGUAAUGGUGUGUCUGAACGUCGUAAUCGUACUUUACUAGAUAUGGUGCGAUCUAUGAUGUCUCUUACUGAUUUAACACUAUCAUUUUGGGGUUAUGCUUUAGAGACGGACGCAUUCACGUUAAAUAGGGCACCAUCAAAAUCCGUUGAGACGACACCUUAUGAACUAUGGUUUGGCAAGAAACCAAAGUUGUCGUUUCUUAAAGUUUGGGGCUGCGAUGCUUAUGUGAAAAAGCUUCAACCUGAUAAGCUCGAACCCAAAUCGGAAAAAUGUGUCUUCAUAGGAUACCCAAAGGAGACUGUUGGGUACACCUUCUAUCACAGAUCCGAAGGCAAGACAUUCGUUGCUAAGAAUGGAUCCUUUCUAGAGAAGGAGUUUCUCUCGAAAGAAGUGAGUGGGAGGAAAGUAGAACUUGAUGAGGUAACUGUACCUGCUCCCUUAUUGGAAAGUAGUACAUCACAGAAACCUGUUUCUGCGACAACUAUACCCAUCAGUGAGGAAGCUAAUGAUAAUGAUCAUGAAACUUCAGGACAAGAUACUAUUGAGCCUCGUAGAUCAACCAGAGUAAGAUCCGCGCCAGAGUGGUACGGUAAUCCUGUUCUGAAAAUCAUGCUACUAGAUCAUGAUGAACCUACGAACUAUGGAGAAGCGAUGGUGAGCCCAGAUUCCGCAAAAUGGCUUGAAGCCAUGAAAUCUGAGAUGGGAUCCAUGUAUGAGAACAAAGUAUGGACUUUGGUUGACUUGCCCGAUGAUCGGCAAGCAAUUGAGAAUAAAUGGAUCUUCAAGAAGAAGAUUGACGCUGACGGUAAUAUUACUAUCUACAAAGCUCGACUUGUUGCAAAAGGUUUUCGACAAGUUCAAGGUGUUGACUACGAUGAGACCUUCUCACCCGUAGCGAUGCUUAAGUCUGUCCGAAUCAUGUUAGCAAUUGCCGCAUUUUAUGAUUAUGAAAUUUGGCAGAUGGAUGUCAAAACUGCAUUCCUGAAUGGAUUUCUGGAAGAAGAGUUGUAUCUGAUGCAACCGGAAGGUUUUGUCGAUCCAAAGGGAGCUAACAAAGUGUGCAAGCUCCAGCGAUCCAUUUUGGACUGGUGCAAGCCUCUCGGAGUUGGAAUAAACGCUUUGAUAGUGUGAUCAAAGCAUUUGGUUUUAGACAGACUUUUGAGAAGUCUGUAUUUACAAAAAAGUGAGUGGGAGCUCUGUAGCAUUUCUGAUAUUAUAUGUGGAUGACAUAUUACUGAUUGGAAAUGAUAUAGAAUUUCUGGAUAGCAUAAAGGGAUACUUGAAUAAGAGUUUUUCAAUGAAAGACCGCGGUGAAGCUGCUUACAUAUUAGGCAUAAAGAUCUAUAGAGAUAGAUCAAAACGCUUAAUUGGACUUUCACAAAGCACAUACCUUGACAAGAUUUUGAAGAAGUUCAAAAUGGAUCAAGCAAAGAAAGGGUUCUUGCCUGUGUUACAAGGUGUGAAGUUGAGUCAGACUCAAUGCCCGACCACUGCAGAAGAUAGAGAGAAAAUGAAAGAUGUUCCCUAUGCUUCAGCCAUAGGCUCUAUCAUGUAUGCAAUGCUGUGUACCAGACCUGAUGUGUGCCUUGCUGUAAGUCUAGCAGGAAGGUACCAAAGUAAUCCAGGAGUGGAUCACUAGACAGCGGUCAAGAACAUUCUGAAAUACCUGAAAAGGACUAACGAUAUGUUUCUCGUAUAUGGAGGUGACAAAGAGCUCAUCGUAAACGGUUACGUUGAUGCAAGCUUUGACACUGAUCCGGACGAUUCUAAAUCGCAAACCGGAUACGUGUUUACAUUAAACGGUGGAGCUGUCAGUUGGUGCAGUUCUAAACAAAGCGUCGUGGCGGGAUCUACAUGUGAAGCGGAGUACAUAGCUGCUUCGGAAGCAGCAAACGAAGGAGUCUAGAUGAAGGAGUUCAUAUCCGAUCUAGGUGUCAUACCUAUUGCAUCGGGUCCAAUGAAAAUCUUUUGUGACAAUACUGGUGCAAUUGCCUUGGCAAAGGAAUCCAGAUUUCACAAGAGAACCAAACACAUCAAGAGACGCUUCAAUUCCAUCCAGGAUCUAGUCCAGGUGGGAGACAUAGAGAUUUGCAAGAUACAUACGGAGCUGAAUGUAGCAGACCCAUUGACUAAGCCUCUUGCACGAGCAAAACAUGAUCAACACAAAAGGUCCAUGGGUGUUAGAAUCAUUACUAUGUAAUCUAGAUUAUUGACUCUAGUGCAAGUGGGAGACUGAAGGAAAUAUGCCCUAGAGGCAAUAAUAAAGUUAUUAUUUAUUUCCUUAUAUCAUGAUAAAGGUUUAUUAUUCAUGCUAGAAUUGUAUUAACCGGAAACAUAAUACAUGUGUGAAUACAUAGACAAACAGAGUGUCACUAGUAUGCCUCUACUUGACUAGCUCGUUAAUCAAAGAUGGUUAUGUUUCCUAACCAUGGACAAAGAGUUGUCAUUUGAUUAAGGGAUCACAUCAUUAGUUGAAUGAUCUGAUUGACAUGACCCAUUCCAUUAGCUUAGCACCCGAUCGUUUAGUAUGUUGCUAUUGCUUUCUUCAUGACUUAUACAUGUUCCUAUGACUAUGAGAUUAUGUAACUCCCGUGUGCCGGAGGAACACUUUGUGUGCUACCAAACGUCACAACGUAACUGGGUGAUUAUAAAGGUGCUCUACAGGUGUCUCCAAAGGUACAUGUUGGGUUGACGUAUUUCGAGAUUAGGAUUUGUCACUCCGAUCGUCGGAGAGGUAUCUCUGGGCCCUCUCGGUAAUGCACAUCACUUAAGCCUGCAAGCAUUGCAACUAAUGAGUUAGUUGUGGAAUGAUGUAUUAUGGAACGAGUAAAGAGACUUGCCGGUAACGAGAUUGAACUAGGUAUUGGAUACCGACGAUCGAAUCUCGGGCAAGUAACAUACCGAUGACAAAGGGAGCAACGUAUGUUGUUAUGCGGUCUGACCGAUAAAGAUCUUCAUAGAAUAUGUAGGAGCCAAUAUGGGCAUUCAGGUCCCGCUAUUGGUUAUUGACCGGAGACGUGUCUCGGUCAUGUCUACAUUGUUCUCGAACCCAUAGGGUCCGCAUGCUUAAGGUUUCGAUGACAGUUAUAUUAUGAGUUUAUACGUUUUGAUGUAUCGAAGGUUGUUCAGAGUCCCGGAUGAGAUCACGGAUAUGACGAGGAGUCUCGAAAUGGUCGAGACAUAAAGAUUGAUAUAUUGGAAGCCUAUGUUUGGAUAUCGGAAGUGUUCCGGGUGAAAUCGGAAUUUUACCGGAGUACCGGAAGGUUACCGGAACCCCCCGGGAGAUAUAUGGGCCUUAGUGGGCCUUAGUGGAAAAGAGAAGAGGCAGCCAGAGAUGGGCCGCGUGCCCCUCCCCUCCCUUGGUCUGAAUAGGACAAGGAGAGGGGGCCGGCCCCCCUUCCUCUUUUCCCCCCUCCGUGAAUCCUAUUCCAACUAGGAUUGGGGGGGGGAUCCUACUCCCGGCGGGAGUAGGACUCCUCCUGGCGCGCCACCUCUAGGCCGGCCGCACCCCCCCUUUGAGCCUUUAUAUACGGAGGCAGGGGCACCCCCUGGAGACACAAGUUGAUCCACGUGAUCAUAUUCUUAGCCGUGUGCGGCGCCCCCUGCCACCAUAGUCCUCGAUAAUAUUGUAGCGGUGCUUAGGCGAAGCCCUGUGACAGUAGUACAUCAAGAUCAUCACCACGCGGUCGUGCUGACGGAACUCUUCCCCGACACUUUGCUGGAUCGGAGUCCGUGGAUUGUCAUCGAGCUGAACGUGUGCUAGAACUCGGAGGUGCCGUAGUUUCGGUGCUUGAUCGGUCGGGCCGUGAGACGUACGACUACAUCAACCAAACGCUUCCGUUGUCGAUCUACAAGGGUACGUAGAUCACACUCUCCCCUCUCGUUGCUAUGCAUCACCAUGAUCUUGCGUGUGCGUAGGAAUUUUUUUGAAAUUACUACGUUACCCAACAAUAUUAUCAACAGAGAUUGUAAAAUAGACUAUGCGGGUGAGGCAAUCUUGGAAUAUUUACUUUCAUUACCAGAUCAGGAACUAUGUAUUAUGGGCACUCGUAAUGUGCGUGACAUGAUUGCCAUAUCAGCCUGGUACUUGUGGUGGGAAAGGUGCACAUUGAUACACAAUGAGACUACUCAGAAUGCACAACAGAUAUCCAUGGGGAUACGCGCUCUCGCUGCCAAUUUUGUUAAUGCCUCCUCGCCUAAGGCUUCCAUGAAAAGAGGAGGAUGGUCUAACCCCCCGACAGGAUUUGUUAAACUUAACGUUGAUGCUUCUUUUGACCACGACCUUCUCAGGGGUACGAUCGGGGCUGUCUUAAGAGAUGACAAAGGUAGGUUCAUCGGUGGGGGAAAUGGUAAGAUUGACUGGUGUGCAGAUGUGUUGAUGGCUGAAGCUUUGGCGUUAAAAUUUGGUCUAUCGCUUGCGCAAAGGACAGGUUGUAAUCGCAUAAUUAUUAACUCGGAUAAUAUGGAGGUGAUCGAGACCAUGAACGAAGGAGGACGAUCGUCGGGGGCAGUUGGUGCAAUUUUUGAUGACUGUUUUCACUUAGCUUGCGAUUUUCCUAUUUCUAGAUUCGAGCAUUAUAAUAGAGAAGCAAAUAAAGUUGCUCAUGAACUUGCCAAGUUGGCUAGAUUUUCUUUCAUUUAUGAUUGGUUUGAGGAACCACAUAAUGCAAUUGUACCGAUCCUCAUAAACGAUGUAAUGAUUAUUUCUAAUGAAUAAAGCUUGAACUUUCUUAAAAAAACCGUGACAUCCCUUCUUCACAUUCAUAUGAUUAAGCCUAAAAUGAUUAUAAUUAAUUUGAAAAUUACAAAUCUACUGUAUACAUUUACAAAAAUUACAUACAAACAAAAUUAUGGUGCAAUAAAAUUAUAUUUUGAUUUAUUUCUGUACAUGCUACAGUAAAUCCGCACAUUAGUUGCUACAGUAACCAUGACAUCCCUUCUUCGCUUUACACACGCAUUUUACUAUAGCUUCGUGACAUCCCUUGAGAAUAUUAAAGGAUCCACUUCCUGUUUAAUCAUAUGGCUCAAGAAAGUCAGGGGAGAAAAUAAAUCGCUGUGUCAAAGAGAAAAAAAAAUGACAUAUUAGCGCUCAUCAGGCCAGGCCAUGAACAAAACAGGGCACUUUUUAUGCUCGCCUGACCAGGCAGAUUUUUUGAAGUUCUUAGGCACAUGUCAGACAACAAUAUAUCCUAGGCGUGGUGUCCAGGACAUCAACCAAACUGGCUCUAUUUCUCUAAUCCAUCGCUCGAACUCCUUCUUGCGAUCAUCACCAGAAAAAAUAAUAACAUAAAUGAUUUAUGGCUUUGGGAAUGUUAUAAUGUUUUAGAUGCUUGUGAAAUAUCAUGACGACAAACUGAGCCUAGAUCACAUAGAUAGAUUCUUUGUGGUGGAAUCAUUCCAUCUGGGUUUAAGUCUGAAACUUGACACUGGUGAUCGCAUUUUUCUGUAUUUAUUCGAGACUUUCUGACGAUAUUUGUUUAGUAGGAGGAGACGUUUCUGUCGACUACAUAGGCUCCUGUGAUGACUUCUUCAAUCUCAAGAUGAUAUGCCGGCUUAGUCUCUUGAAGGCGUCUAUAAAUAUAGGAUGUGCGUGUGUGCAUUUAUAGAGAUGAGUGUAUAUUUAUAUACUAGCAAAUAUGCCUGUGCGUUGCAACGGAAGAAAAAAUUACACGUUGGUCAAUAUCCGACAUAUGAAUGUCCUCUAUUUUAACACGAUGGCUCAUCAUGUUGCCAAUUAUCUUUCUUCUCACUCUCGUUGAUGAUGGAUGCAAUAUCCACGUGAUCGCAAUGCAUUCAACGUGGUAAAAAAUGGGCUUGUCACUGUACGACACACUUGUCAUUGUCUCGCGCAAGGGAAUGUUUUAAACUUUGAAAACAAAUCUCAUCGACCAUGGACUACUCGCCAACCCCAAGACAUAUAAAGAAUUUCCAAAAUUAAUCAAAUCCUAGAUAUAAAAUACAUCUGAAUAGGAAGAGUUUUUUGAAUCGACAAACAUUCUUUUUAAAUUUAGACAUUUUUUUAAAUUCACAAACAUUUGUUUUUUAGACGAACAUUUAUUGAAAUGCAUGAAUAGUUUUUGAUUUCAUGAUGACUCAGAUUCACAAAUAUGUUUUGAAUACACGAUCAUUUUAUCAAGAUCAUGAACUUGAUUUUAUUUAACGACAUUUCUUUCCAAAUUAUUUUUAUAAUUUGCAAAUAUUUUUGUAAAAUCAGUAACAUUUUUUGAAACCACGAAAAUUUUAUGAUUUCCUGAACUUUUUUGAAUUCACACACAUUUUAUAAUUUCUCAAACAGCUUUUUGAAACUCGCAACUUUUUAAUACUUGAAAAUCUCAAAUUGAUUUAAAGAAGGAGAAAACAAAAACAGAAGUGAGAAAAGAGAAGACCAGAAAAAAGAAAAAAAAACAGGGCAUUAAGUCCGCUGGCUGGCCCAUGUAGGCCUAAAGUAGGUGGGAAUAAGUCAUGAGAAAAAGGUGGAGGAAAAUAUUGGUAGAAGCUGGGGUUCGAACCCUGGUCUACAGGGCAGAAGACAAUGCAUCGAGCCACCGCGCUACUACCGCGUCACUGCUAUUAGUUGGAUAUUAACUGUCGACUACAUAUGCUCCUGUGAUGACUUCUUUAAUCUCGAAAUGAUAUGCCGGCUUAGUCUCUUGAAGGCGUCUAUAAAUAUAAGAUGUGCGUGUGUGCAUUUAUAGAGAUGAGUGUAUAUUUAUAUAAAUAAUCGUCUGCGUUGUUACUGUGUUAAAAUCUAUUAGCAACAUGUCAUGAUGAAGUAAUAUUAGCAUUGACUCGUUGACCUGAGUGUUGCGAGGUGGCUUCCCCUCCCCCAUUCUCAUCCCCUUUUCCUCCGGCCACACUCCCCCGCUAGCUAGCCAUUGACCGUGCCGGUGAUUCCCGGCCAAGGAAAGGGAGAGCAAUGGAGGCGGCGAUAAUCUGCGCGCUGCUGAAGACCACGCUGCCGAAGGCCCUGUCGGCGCUGGGCGGGAGCAGGGACGUCCGGUCCAUCCAGUCGGAGCUCAGGUACAUCGAGGCCGCCAUCCAGGACCACCGCAGGAGGAGCGGCGGCAGGGACACGAGCCACCUGCGGGCGGCGUGGAUCCAGGACCUCACGCUCUUCGCCUUCGACAUCGAGGACUGCGUCGACCGCUUCCUGCGGCAGGAGAUGCCGCCGGAGGACGGCGAGGCCGGCUUCCUCCGCCGCUCCGCCCACGCCGCCAGGAGCACGGUGUUCACGCGCACGUUGUUCUCCCUCAGGAUCCGCAAGCUCAAGGCCAGAUCCGAGGAGAUUCACCGGCGCCUGAAGCGGUACAUCGAGGAGGCGGCGGCGGAGGGGACGAUACCAGACGGCGGCGGGGCGCCGGUCCCUGCCGCUCGGUGCGGUGCUCCGGCGGCGGCCGUGGGGAUGGACGAGCCUCUUGGGGAGCUUCUUGAGCUCGUGCGGGAACCUGGGGGGCCGUCGGAGGGGAAGCUCAGGGUGAUCUCCGUCGUCGGCUUCCAUGGCCUGGGCAAGACUCUUCUUGCCCACCAGGUGUUCGACCACGGCGACGUGCGCCGCCUGUUCCCUCUGCGGGUUUGGGUUUGCGCCGCGGGCAAGGGCACGCCAGAGCUUCUGAAGGAGAUGCUCGAUCAAGUGCUCCAGAAUGGUGCGGGCACCUCCGCCGACAGGGCCCGGCAGGUUGACUCUGCACCUGUGACCACCACGACCACCUACAAAUCCAACUGCGUCAUCCCAGAGGUCGAGGAGAAUGGCAUUGAGGAAGUCCAGAAUGGUGAGAGUGCCUCAGCCGGUGUCGCCAACGGCGGCAGUACAUGGCGCCAGUGCCUCCAAGCAGUUUGGUGGACUCUCGCGACGAUACUGCUGUACAUCUUGUCCCCGGCGUUCACCGUGGCAAACAUGGUGCGAGCCUCUUCUGUCCAAGAUGAGUCUGCAGACAUACAUACUGCUACUGCGAAUGUGAGUAUCUCCACAAGCACCAAGAUCGCCGCACAAGUCGAUGAGAACAAGAGUGUCCAGAUGAAGAGGCAAGCUGACAGGGGCAAGGCUAUUCAGGAGGACACUCACUUGGAAGGUGUAUGUGAUACAACGCUCAUCGAACAACGUCUAGGAUCAUACCUGAAGAAUAAAAGGUGAUCUCUUUUUUUUUUGUUGAUUAAUUUUCUCUACACACAUAUAUACAGGUUCACGGCUUACACAUAUAAAAGAUACUCCGUGCUAUGGAUUAAUUUGGUAAAUCUAUACUACUGUAAUUUCAACAGCUAAAUGAGUUCUUCAUAUGUAACCAAUAAUUUACAAGAAUAGUUGCUCUGGGCCAUCUUUUGUAGGAUUAUGUAUGAAGUGAUUAAUUCUGACAUAGAAAUCUAAGUGGAAACAUUUAAACUCAACUCUGUUUUGUAAGAUCUAGUUCUGAUUGUUCGGUCAGUCUCGAGAGUAAGUUUAGUUAGUAUAUUACUUACUAUUUAGUCCGUCUCAAGAUCUAUUUAGCUGCAGAGGAGAAGGGAUAUAUUACUUACUAUUUUUAUUUCCUCAAUUUACGUUUUGUAGGUAUUUGAUUGUAAUUGAUGGCAUGCAAACAGAAGAAUUGUGCAACAUAACAUCUGUAUUCCCUGUGGAUGACGGAGUGGACAGCAGAGUUAUUGUGACGACAACCAUUAAGAAAAUAGCAAGACGCUGCAGCUCUGCCAAUGGCCGUGUGUACAAAAUGAAAACACUUGAUGACAAUGAUUCAAGAAAGUUGUUCUUCGAAGUAUUUUCCAAGGGUAAGUAUUCCGUUGCUGAUGCAACGGAGUUGAAAGCAUCUGCCCUCCUAGAGAAAUGUGGCGGCCUACCGCUUGCCCUUGAAAGCAAAGCAAAGUUUCUGAAGAGUGAAGAAGACCUGACCAAGAGUAAAUGUGAAGAUGCCUGCCGCAAGCUUUGUGCUCCAGAAAGAUGUGAGGACACAUUGGGAAGAAUGCAUGGGGUUCUCGCCAGCAGCUACGAGAGUCUAUGUAGCCUUGUUCUCCAGCAGUGCUUGCUAUAUUUCUGCAUGUUCCCGCGUGGCCAUCGUGUCAGGCGGAAUCCUCUAAUCAGGCGGUGGCUGGCGGAAGGACUUGUACAUGUACAACCAGGGGAUGCAGUGAGCACCACACCCCAAGACAUCGCAAUUGAGAAUUUGGAGACCCUGAUCGACCGUAGUAUCAUUCAGUCCACGGAAGUGAGCACCUGUGGGAAUGUGAAGAGAUGCCAACCUCCUGGGAUGAUGCUCGAGUACAUUGUCCGCAAGUCCAUGUCUCAAAAUUUCAUCACCUUGCUUUGUGGUGAGAGUGAGACGGCCGGAGAAUGGGACUACGUUCGCCGACUUUCUCUCCAUGAUUACUGUGCUGAAAAACUGCCCAAGGGCUUAUCUCGUCUGCGGACCCUGGCGGUAUUCCCUACCGGGGAUGCUGCUAAACACGGACCUACAUUGAAUUUUGCCAAGUAUGACCUACUGCGAGUGUUGGAUUUAGAAGAAUGUGAUGGUCUGAAUGACGGGCACCUCCAGAACAUAUGCAACCUUGUGUUUCUGAAAUAUCUGAGCCUCGGGGGGCGCAUUAGUGAGGUUCCAAAGAAAAUUGCCAAGCUGCAAUGGUUGGAGACACUGGACCUGAGAAGAACCAAGAUAGAGAAGGUGCCCAUAGAAGUCAUCCAGCUCCCCCAAUUAAAACAUCUCCAUGGCAAAUUUCAGCUUAUCGAAGGUGACUGCGGAAAGAUAAAUUCAGAGUACUUGUCAAAGAGAAGUAUCUUGGAGACACUUUCAGGAUUUGUUACGGGAGAGAGCGAAGGAUUUCCACAGCUGAUGAGGCACAUGAAGCGGCUGAGGAAGGUGAAAAUAUGGUGCGAAUCCACCGCAAAUAGAAGAAACCUGGACCAACUUGAGGAAGCCAUCAAGAUGUUCAUUCGUGAUGGGAACGAAUGGCCUCAUCGUUCCCUAUGCAUUAACUUCCAAGAAUGCUCAGACCCAUUCUUGGGUUCUCUGAAAGCCCCUGGCAGUCUUGCCUCGCUGAAGCUGCGCGGCAACCUCAGCGGAUUCCCUCAGUUUGUUACCAAGCUGAACAGAAUCGAGGAGCUGUGUCUGUCGUCGACUAACCUAAGCCGAGGUGUUCUUCUAUCUGGGAGUCGUCUGGACACACUUAAGUAUCUGAAGCUGAUCGAAGACAACAUCGGGCCUCUCGAAAUACGCCACGAGCACUUCCCAAGCAUCCGGCGCAUAUGGCUCGUCGGCGUGAAAAGUCUGCACUCUGUAACGACCGGAGCUCUGCCACAUCUUACUUCGCUUCAUAUGAUCUGUGAAUCUUUAGAUGGUCUUGCUGGCAUCGAAAUCGGACGCCUAGAAGGAUUAAAGGAAGUCAGGCUGCAUUCUGCAGUCGACCAAGGAACAAAAGAUGCAUGGAAGGAAGCUGCAAGGAGCCACCCUAAAAGGCCUGACGUUCUUCUUCACUGACUACUGUUCUGUGCUGGGUCGAUGUAUCUCUUCAAAGUUAUGUAGAUUACUUGGUUACAAUUGUUGGUUUUAGGACAGAGAUAGUCAUUUCUAUUGCUGCUUUUUAUUCUUACUACACAAUCAUCUGUGUGUGGCAACGGGAGCAUAGUAUUUUAAUAGAUUAGCCCGUGAUUUACGUUAUCCAUAUGAAUGUGAUUGUGUAAAUAAAGUAUUUUAUUUGGUAAGCAUUCAUUGACUUACCAAAGAAAACAUAAGGGCAGUGCCAUGUGUCAUCGAGUGAUAAUGUAAAAAGAUUGACCGUCUCGCCCGCUGUUGGAUGGAGCCCCGAAUAGCCGCCUGAUCUCUCCCAUGUGAGCGUGGGUCUUUGCAACAAGGCUUUUUUUAAGGGAGUCUUUGCAACAAGGCUAGUGUUACGGUCGGCCCUAUGCAACCGGAGCCUUGUUGCAAUCUUCCGGGGCCGCUUUUUUUCCUUCUAAAACAAGGCCUUUGUUGCAGUCACAACAAAGUCUGCAAUAAAAUCCCAUGAUUUAUUUGUUUUCUCCUUGUCCUUUUAUCCCUUGAAACAAAGCCUCUUUUCCAAUCGCAGCAAAAUCCCAUCAAUUUGUUGACAAGGGAAACACUAGUGUUCCUACCAUCUAACCCUUUGAUUUGAGGAAGGUUUCUAUUGAAAUUGGCGGCCUACAGCGAGUGAAAAGGGGUGUGUGGAUUGGUUCCUGAUAAGAUGGACCUUUCUCUGCUCCUCUUGUUACCAAACGGAGCCAUCAAACAGGGAAGAUGAGGGGGAAUGAGGCCAUGUUUGUUUGGGUUUUUACUUCUGCUUUUUAGUUUUUCCAUUUUGACAAAAGGCCAAAAAAAACUCUUAAAUAUGUGCUUCGGCUUUCCGGCAUUGCCCCCUCGUCCCAUUCCGGCUUGGCUCUUUGGUAGGUGUUGCAGAUGUCUUGCUCUUGGUCAUCAAGCGGCUGAUUGCAGAGAUCCCUUGAGGUGCUUCCGCUGUUUGGAGAACGGCCACUGGGCGCGUGGGUGUCGCAAUGCUUGGCAUCCAUUCAGCUCACUUGCAUGCCUUGCCAUGCCGCCACGGUCUCGCCUCGACACCGAGCAUUGCCGAGCUCCAGCUCCUUGUGAUGGCCCGAUGGAAUCCCAGCUCCCCUCCAAGGCGCUUCACCGCAGGUCCUGGGCAUCGGCCGUUUCCGCUCAUGCUGAGUCGGCAACCCCAUCUGAUGUACUGCUCCAGUCCACUCUAGCAGCCCAGGCUGAGCUCCUGGUGCGUGUUGGGAGCUUUCUGGAGCGAGCGGAGGCUGCUCUGGAAAAGCUCUCUCUUGUGCCGGCUGUGUUGCAAUCCGCUCCUACGCCACAUCCUCCUAGUGAGGUUGAUGUUGGUGGCUCAGUGGAGAAUAGGGUUGCGGAGCUCUAUGGUUGUUUCUCCCCUAGAGCUAUGGACAACUCAUCAUCGCCGUCUGCCUUGGCCACUUUGAUGUCUACCGCUAAGGGCGGGACCAUUGCCGUGGUUGUGCCUCCAGUGCUGCAGGUGAUGCCCGAGCUUCAAGUGUUAUGUGCGAGCUCUGAUUCACCUCUAUCAGUGGAGAAUAUGAUGGUGGAGACGCAGGCAACCACGUGCGAGGGGCAUGAUUCAACCUUGACAUGUGAGCUGAGUGAGGUGAACUCGCCUGCGCGCUCACAUGUGGCUUCUACUCCCAGUCCACCCCCGCCGACGGAUAAUUCCAAUGCUCUCUUUGCAAAAGAGCUUUGUGACUUGCUCGCUAGCGUGGAGACUGUUAGCCCUGGAACUGGAAGGGCGAUUGCUUGCCUCCUGACGGGAACGACAUUCAAGGGCAAAUACAAGAAGGCGAGUGAUUGCCCUCGGACCGGUAUAGUGAUGGAGAAGCCACUAAGGUGCAAAGGCAAGAAGAGUGGCGCCAUAGGUAAGGCGCCCGCAGCUGCUUAAUGGAUGAUUCCCGGUCCCUUGGUUCAUACUCACAGUUUGGGGUCGUCAUUGUGAUUUCAGCGUGGUCCACUAUCUUUUGUUGGGAUGUUCUUGUCGGAUUCAAAAUUGUGGUGUACAAGUGUGAGGAGUUAUUGUGUGUUAGGAGGGGUUGGCGGGUUGCACGUGUGCUCAUGGGGUCAUGAUUGGUGAGUAACCCAAUUAUGGUCUGAUUGUAUCGGUUUUAGCCCGAUUUUCCUUGGAUUAACCGGGCAAUUUUCUUCUUCUUAAUUAAUCGAUGAGGCAAUUCUUUUGCCUCUGUUUCAAAAAAAUAAAAUAAAGAUAUUGAUUCAUAAGCCAAAAGCCGAAGCAAAAAGUCCAUAUUUAGGAGUUUUUGUGCUUUUUUUUAAAAGUGAAAAAGAUGCAAAAGCAGAAGCAAAAAACCAAAAAAUAGGACAUGAGGCAACGACAUGUAUGGAAGUUGUGCCGGCGGGUAGAGUUGGGAGGGCGACCUGUAUGGAAGUUGUGCCGGCGGGUAGAGUUGGGAAUAUAGCUGGCCAUAAAUUGGGUCAGGCCUAAUAAAGCCCGUAGCAGAAAACCUAGGCCUGGGCCUAGAUUUCAGCCCCAGGCCCGAUCCAUCAGAGGAAAAGCCCGUCGGGCCUCAGGCCGGGCCUCUUCCCUAAAACGCAAAUAUGCCAAGCUCAAGCCCGACCCAUGGGCAAGACUGGGCUGACCGGGCCGGGCCUAAUAAAGCCCGUAGCAUAAAACUUAGGUCCGGGCCUAGAUUUCAUGCCCAGACCUAUCCCUUCAAAGAAAAAGCCCGUCGGGCCUCGGGCUAGGCCUAAAAUGCAAAUAUGACAAGCCCAAGCCCGGCCCAACCCAGCCUUUGGGUUCAGAUUUCAGGCCCAGGCCCGGCCCAUGGGCAAGACCGGGCCGGGUUUUCCAUGGCCAGGUAUAGUAGGGAGUCACUGCUCUGAAUUUUUAUAUGGUGGAGAUGCUCUUAGGGGUCGUAAUCUGAACCGUGAGACAGGUUAGGGGUAACAUUGACUUCUCUCUUGGGUUCUUCUUCUUCCAUGAGUCCCGUUCACCACACCUGUGCUGCCAUGGCGUAGCUCCACCUCGUGCUCCUCAAUCGGAAUCUCUUGGUGCAGGUAAUUCCGCCCUCUUUUUAUUCUGCUGCUGCUUCGCUUCUCACCCAUGACUACCACAGCUGUCUUGUUCUUGCUUCAGCUACAGGCGGGGAUCGAUGUUCCGAUUUAUCAGUGCUUGGCUACAGGUGGUGCUCCGGUAUAUCGCCGCAUGGCUUCAGGCGGCGGCGGCCGCGGCGGCGGCAGCGGCGGAUAAACUGGAUGCUGCGUCGCUCUCGCUUCAGGGGACGGCGGCCAUGGAUUUUCCUGCUACUGUUUCGCUUGGCCCCCUCCACCGGCAGCUCCAUUCAUUCAGGGCUGCCACGAACAAUCUCCCCGACGGGGUUAGCGAUGGCGAGGUCCGGCGCCUCGAAGAAGAUCUGGAGACACUGUUCACCGAGCUCAAGAUCGUGUCGGAGGCGGACGACCCCAGCUUCACGGCCAGGUGCUGGAUGAAGGAGGUGCGGGAGCUCCGCUACGACGCAGAGGACUUCUUCAACGAGGUCCCGCGCUCCUCCGCCGGCGCCGGCAGAAGCGCUCUUCACACCCUCAUUCUUUCGAUCCCCAGAAAACUGAAGCUUCGGCGCCAGGUUGCAGAAGCUUUCUCAGAUCUGUGUGCUCGUGCCAAGGAUGCGAGUCAAAGACGCCAAAGUUUCCAGCUUGGACCAGCAACCAUCAGACCUGAAUCUGGACAAGUCAAUGUCAGCCGCUCCAAGAGCCUCGGACUUAUUGGCCUUGAGGAGUCCAUGGAUAAGCUUGUCAAACUGAUGGCUUUAGACGACCAAGAGAUUGCAGAGCUGCUGGCUUUUGACAGUGAAGAUACAGAGCAACUAGUUCAGGUGGUACCUAUCUUUGGAUCUGCAGGUGUUGGCAAAACAACACUUGCCAGAACCUUCUACCGUAACUUCGGGGGGAAAUUCCAGUGCCGGGCUUUCGUGCGGGUGUCUCGAAAUCCAGAUAUGAGGAGGAUGCUUUCCAGCAUGCUCUCACAAAUUAAGGCACCGCCGGUUCAUGGCUUUCCUGAUGUGCAGGACCUUAUUGACCAUAUCAGAGGAUAUCUGCAAUGCAAAAGGUACAUAUUCUAUUAGUACUGAAUACUCCUGAUGUGCAUAAGUACCUUUCAACAAUAUGUACAUUUCAGUUUGUGCAUCAGGGUUGUUAUGCUCAAUCCUGAUGUACACGAUCAAGUGUGCUUUCACCACCGGUCCAUCAGGAAUAUGUACAUGUACCUUUUGCAUUGUUGAAUAUGUACAUUUAGGAAUAUGUGCAGGACCUUAUUGACCAUCCCAGAGAAUAUCUGCAAUGCAAAAGGUAUAUUAACAAUAGAGAAUAUCUGGAAUGCAAAAGGUACAUGUACAUGUCUUUUAACUGGACAAACGGUGCAUUGUUGAAAAACAAUGAUAAAUGUUUGAGCAAAUAAGCACUACUGUAUAUCUUAAGAGGCUAUUUGGGUUGGAUUUAGGAAAAAUAAACCUUUUCAAUUUUCUAUUCUUCAUGAAUUUUGAUUGCAGGAAGUUGAUGAAUUGGGAAAAGUAAACCAUUAUUUUUGGAUUCCUUAUCACACAUGUACAUGUACCAAUCUAGAGCCCAGGGGAAUAGACAAAGUUGCCUCUUAUGUAAUCUUAAGAGCAUAAGUUUUUUUUCAAUACUUUUUUUCCGGUGUAGCAAAUUACUUGUUUCGAUUGUUUACUUCACUGCCUGAUUGAUCUUCCUUUGGCUAUACCAAUUUCCUUAGGAUAUAGUAUUUCUUACUUUAAGAUUACUAACAAUAAUACCAAUUUCCUUUUAAUUUGUGGUUAAUUUAUUUAUUUUAUUUUGGCUAUACUUCUUUCUUUCUUUUUUGUCAGCUUGACAAACAUAUUUAUUGUGAAUAAAAUAUUCUGCAGAUACUUGAUUGUAAUUGAUGACUUAUGGGCCUCCUCGACAUGGGAUAUUAUUAGCCGUGCUUUCCCUGAUGGUGAUUGUUGCUGCAGAAUAAUAGUAACCACGGAAAUCAAGGAUGUAGCAUUGGCAUGCAGUAGGUAUCAGUUUAAGUACAUGUAUGAGAUGAGUCCUCUUAACGGUGAUCAGUCAAGACAGUUAUUCCUCGGUAGAGUUUUUGGGUCUGAAAAUGGUUGUCCUCCAGAUUUCAAAGAAGUUACAUAUGAGAUUAUCCGAAAAUGUGGAGGUUUACCAUUAGCAACUGAAAAUAUAGCCAGCAUGUUAGCAUGUGAAUUAAACAUUGAUCAAUGGAAGCACAUACGAGAUUCUUUACCCUCUGUUUUGAGAUUGAGGACAGACCCUAGUUCGGAAGGGUUGAAAGAAGUUCUGAACAUUAUUUAUGAUAAUCUUUCACCAUAUUUGAAGACAUGCUUGCUAUAUCUUAUUAUGUAUCCAGAGGGAAGCACUAUCAGCAAGGACGAAUUAGUGACGCAAUGGAUAACUGAAGAUUUUAUCGGCGAAGGGCAAGACAGGGAGAAAAUUGCACGGCAUUAUUUUGAUGAGCUUGUGAGUAGAGGAAUGAUCCAACCUCUUGACAGAAAUUAUAACGAUGAGGUGUUGACAUGUACAGUUCACCACAUGGUACUAGAUCUUAUUAGGUACAAAUCUCUGGAGGAGAAUUUCAUCAUUAUUGUGAGUUGUUUUCAAACAAUUACAGGUCUUCCUGACAAGGUUCGUCGACUGUCUGUCCAGUUCGGUGGUGCAAAAUGUGCUAAUAUACCGGCAGACUUUAUGAUGACUCAAGUUAGAUCGCUUAUAUUUUUUGGCUUCUUGAACUGUGUGCCUUCCUUUGUGGAAUAUAAGCUGCUUCGAGUUCUGAUUCUUCAUAUCUGGGCUGAUCAAAGCAAAAUAUUUGACCUCACUAGAAUUAGCAAACUGUUUCAGCUGAGGUAUCUGAAAAUUGAUUGCAACAUCACUGUCCAUUUGCCAGACGAGAUUCAGCAGCUACGAUUCUUGGAGACAUUGGAAUUGCAUGCACCAGUAAGUGAUAUGCCAUCGGAUAUUAGUUGCUUGCCCUUACUUCACACGCUGGGCUAUUUUGAUCUCGGCAAGAACUCAAUAGAGAAUGUACAGAGCCUUGGCGAGCUGAACAAUCUCCAAGACCUUCAUCUCACCUGGUCUAACAUAUCAGACCCUGACAAUCUGAAGAACAAUAUGCAAUGCCUGGGCUCAAUUCUCCGGAAACUCGGCAACCUCAAGUCUUUAACUUUAGUACGUGCAGCCUCCUCUCAUGCAGAUGUAACUCUAAUACGUGCAGCCUCCUCUCAUCCAGAUGUUUUAGACGAUGCUGGUGGUGCAAUCUUGGGUAUUUCUGGCGAUGUCUUGAGCAGCGUGUCCUCUCCCCCGCCCCUUCUUCAGAGGCUUGAGCUGUCAGGGCGCUGUUGCAUCUUUGCCAGCCUACCUGAGUGGACCAAAGAACUUGGCAAUCUCUGCAUUUUGAAGAUUUCAGUUAGGAAGUUGUUGAGGAAAGAUAUUGAUAUCCUCAAAGGAUUGCCAGCUCUCAUGGCUCUCUCGCUGUACGUUUGGACUGCCCCUGUAGGAAAGGUCGUCUUUGAUAGUGAGGGGUUCUCAAUUCUCAAAUACUUCAAGUUUACAUGUGCUGCCCCAUGCCUGGCAUUUCUGAUAGGAUCAAUGCCUAGCGUCCGGGAGCUUAAGCUAGCAUUCAAUGCUAAUAGAAUGGAGCAAUACAGCCAGAUAGUUGCUGGCUUAGAGUACCUGAUAGAACUUAAAGAGAUAACUGCAAAAGUUGGGGGCACUGGUGCGGAUGAAUCUGAUAAAAGGUACGCGGAGUCGGCAUUGAGGGGCGCCAUUGCCAAUCAUCCAUGCGCUCCUAUAAUCACAGUACAAUGUGUAGAUCGGAUUUUGUAUGGUGAGGACGAUAUGAGUGCCGUCACACAAGAACAAGAACACUGGACUCUGGAAGAAGAACAUGAGAUACAAGAGGAAUCACUUGAUCCUCUUCCUGAACUUAUUCCCAUUCCAAGCACACAAACACAAAUGAGAGAUGGAAGCCAGAAUGGUGGAACAGAUAGCUCAAGGGAGGUGCUGACACAAACAAGAGAGGAAGUUCAGGAUGAAUUAAUAGAAAGAUCGAUGGAGGUCCUGACACAUGAACGGGAACACUUAACUCUGGAAAGACAACACGAGAUUCAUGAGGAAUUGCUUGAUCCUCUUCCUGAAGUUGUUUCCACUUCAAGCACACAGACACAAGUGAGAGAGGAAGUGCGGGAUGGAGAAAUAGGGAGAUCGAUGGAGGUGCUGACACAAGAGCAAGAACAGUGUAUCGUGGAACAACAAGAUGAAAUGACAGACGGAGUGCUGGAUGUACAAAUAGGGACAUUGAUGGAGGUGUUAGCACAAGAAGAGCAAUGGCGGAAUAAUAUGCAGAAUAGUGGAAUCGGGAGAUCGAUGGCGGUGGUGAGCGCUUCCCAUGGCACCUUGGAUCCCCUACUGGACAAGCUCAAUGCUUUGCUCAGCGAGGAGUAUGGCAACUUGGAAGGUGUCCUCCAUGAAGUCAGUGCCCUCAAAUCUGAGCUGACAUUAAUGCAUACGGCGGUAAGAAAGUACACGAUGCUAGAAGAUCCAGAUGUCCAGGUGAAGUUAUGGCUAUCGUUGCUGAGGGAGUUUUCCUAUGAUGCAGAGGAUUACAUUGAUAAGUUCAUUCACCAGCUCGACAAUGGCGGACAUCAUGGCGGAUUCAAGCAGAUCUUCGGCAAGACUGCUUGCCAGCUGAAGACGCUUGGAUCUCAGCAUGAAAUUGCAGAAAAAAUCGAUGAGCUGAAAGAUCGUGCCAAGAACUUGAAAGCGAGUAGUUACAAGAUGGAUGAUACUGCUUGCAUCACAUCUUGCCAUUCCACCGUGGAUCCCCAGUUGGCUGCUCUUUUUGUUGAUUCUGCACACCUUGUGGGCAUUGACAGUCCAAGAGAUGAUCUUGCCAAGUGGACGGUCGAAGUAGGAAACAGCUCGGCCAAGCAUCAUUGCAGGAUGUUAUCUAUUGUUGGGUUUGGUGGAUUGGGAAAGACAACACUAGCGAAUGAGGUGUAUCGCAAGGCUAAAGGGCAUUUCCAUUGUCAGGCUUUUGUAUCAGUCUCACAAAAGCCAGAUAUAAAGAAAAUUCUCAUGAACUUGAUCUCCCAAGUGUCUCCCCAUGGAUUCACGAAAGAUACUUACAAUUGGGACAAAAUGAGAUUCAUUAGAGAGCUAAGAAAACUGCUAAAGGAUAAGAGGUAAUUUCAGCCCACAUUCUUUCCUGCAAAACAUGUAUCAUCUCAUGCGUAUUCUCAUUGAUUUUGACUGUAGUUACUGCUUGUACAAUUGUUUUUCUCAACGAACACCACUACGAUUCUAGCAUUACUUUAGUUUUUUACAUCAUGGCCUAUGCAGUACUAUAAUGUCCAAAUGAUGAGUACAAUAUUGUAUACACCUUGGUCCUGAAUUACCCUUCUGAAAUAUGGCUAAAAACGUCCAAUGCAGGAAACUUCUGUCAUAUGAAAGUAUGCAUAGCCAAAUAGCCAAUAACUAUUCCUUAUGUUCUCGUCUUAUCGAUAAUAUUGCCUUGAUUACUGUGCACUUAUAAUCGGAGGUAAAAAGAAAAAAACAUCAAGAAAUCGGUGUUAGUUAGAAGCACUAAACAGAUAUGCAAAAUGACUAACUGAACUAAAUUCCAAGACUUGGUAUGAGGAAGAUUAGAGGUGAGUUGUAGUAAGUAUAUUGCCCACCAUUACGUAUCAUCUUUGGCUCCUGAGUGGAUGCAACUUAAUAGUAACAAUCUGAUAACUACCCAUCCUUAUCAAACAAAUAUUAGUUGUUAAAUGAUGCUGUGAACUUCAGUUAAGUGGAUGCAAUACUGAUGUACGCAUAAAAUUGGAUAUGGAAAUAUAAGGAACAGUGGAACAAUAGCAUGAUGCACUUAAUACCCUCCGUUCCAAAUUAGAUGACCCAACUUUGUACUAACUUUGUACUCCCUCCAUUUUUGUAUACAUGGCCACUAUCAAAAUUACAAUUUGCAACUAUACAAGGCCACUAACAUUAAUCGAGGCAAAAUUAAUGGUGUUUGCCUCGUACUAGCACCCGGGGACAUUAAUAUCAUUUGCGUGCAUGCGGGAGUGAGAAGGUUGGCUUGCAUUCCCAACAUUAAUCAACCAAUGAGGAGUAAGAGGGUUAUCUUGUUGUGCGUGGUAGAGAAAAGCCUCAUUAAUUAACACGACAAACAAGCUGACAACCUAGCUUGCAACAUUGACUUAAACAUUGCAUUGAUUUUUACCUUGGUACCUGUAAUAUGGGUUUGUGGCCUUGUAUACAAAAAUAGAGGGAGUACUAAAGUUAGUACAAAGUUGAGUCAUCUAUUUUGGAACGGAGGGAGUAUUUGAGUACCCAUUGGAGUUUUAUGGAUUUUUUACCUUUUCUAUCUGAAUUACUUAGCAUAAUAAUUGAAUCUGUUUUCUAAUACUAGGUAUCUUGUUGUCAUUGAUGAUAUAUGGUCCAUAUCGGCAUGGAACAUUAUCAAGUGUGCUUUUCCAGAGAAUAACUGUUCUAGCAGAGUUAUAACUACUACACGCAUUAUUGAAGUUGCAAGGUCAUGUUGUAUGGGUCAAGAUGACCGCAUGUAUGAAAUGCAACCCUUAAGUGAUUUUCAUUCUAAAAGAUUGUUCUUGAGAAGAAUUUUUGGGUCCAAGGAUAGUCCCGAUAUGCUGAAAGAAGUUUCAAAUGAAAUUUUGAAAAAAUGUGGAGGCCUGCCGUUGGCAAUUAUCAGUGUAUCUAGUUUAUUGGCAAAUAGGCCAGCUAACAAAGAGGAGUGGGAAAAAGUUUGUGCAUUGGACAAAGACAUAGGUCUAGAGGAAAUGAACAGAAUACUAUGCCUUAGCUACAAUGCUCUUCCAGAUAAUCUCAAGACUUGUUUGUUGUAUUUAAGUAAUUUUCCUGAGGGCUGUGUGAUUGAGAGAGAGAGAUUAGUGAGGCGGUGGAUAGCAGAAGGCUUUAUCUCUGAAAAUCAUGGGCAGAGUCAGCAAGAGGUCGCAGAGUGGUAUUUCUAUGAGUUUAUCAAUAGAAGUAUGAUUCAAGCAGUGGACAUCCGCUAUGAUGGUAAGGCUCGUGCAUGUCGAGUCCAUAACAUGAUGCUUGAACUCAUCAUUUCAAAGUCAGCUGAGGAUAAUUUUGUCAUGGUGAUUCGUAGCAGGCAGACUGGUUUGGUAAAUCGCCAUGGUUGUAUUCGACGGCUAUCAGUCCAGCACAUUGACCAGAAUCUUGCAUCUGUAUUGGCAAAUGAAGAUCUAAGCCAUGUUCGCUCUUUAACAGUAACAUCAUCAAGUUGCAUCGAACACUUGCCUAGUCUUGCUUGCUUUGAAAAUUUGCGUGUACUAGAUUUUGAAGGGUGUGAUGGAUUGGAAAAGUAUCACAUGAAGGGUCUUGGCAAGUUUUUCCAACUAAAGUACCUGAGCCUUAGGGGCACUUGGAUAUCACAUCUACCAUCAGAAGUUGUGAUGUUACAUAAUCUAGAGACCCUAGAUAUUAGGGAGACACAUGUAGAAGAGUUGCCUGCUGAAAUUGUCCACCUUACGAAGCUACAACAUCUUAUCGCUUCAACAGAUUAUGUAAUGCCUGGAAUAAAGAUACCAGAUGGAAUCGGGAAUAUGAGGAACUUACAGGUAUUGUUGGGCUGUGGUAUCAGCUCGGGUUCUGUUGGUGCACUAGAGGAACUCGGUAACUUGACCAAUUUGAAUGAGCUCGAUGUACAGUAUUGGGGAAUAGGAUCCGAGUACAAGUGGCAUGAAGACAGGUUCCUCUCCUCAUUAAUCAAGCUUGGUAGCUGCAAGCUACAGUCUUUUAGGAUAUGGAGGAAGUGCCCUGGUGAUGUCAAGUUCUUAGAAUCAUGGUUCCCUCUGCCAUUUUCCCUCCAAAGAUUUGAGAUGAGCGGCUGCUACAGUUUCAAGUGGAUUCCAUGCUGGAUUUCACCAGCACUGACCAGUCUUGCAUACCUAGAAAUUAAUAUAGUGGAAGUAACGCAGACGGAUCUGUGCAUACUUGGAGAGAUGCCUGCCUUGCUUCACCUGAGGCUAACAUGCCGGACUUUCAGAAAAGAAAGGCUUAUUUUUUACGGCAGAGGAUUCCAGCAUUUGAAGGAAUUUGUUUACGAUGCUGCUGUAUUGCCAUCGGGAAACCUUCUGUUUAUGGAAGGGGCACUGCCAAUGCUCGAGGAUCUUAGCCUAAUCUACUGUGUAUCAAUGGUUAAUGCUUAUGGGUUUUUCUUGGGUAUCGAGCACCUCCCAAGACUGAAAAAUGCACAAAUUCACCUCUACAAACAGGGCGCGGCAUCUUCUGAUAUCGCUUCCGCAGAAGUUACUAUCAGGAAUGAAGCAGAUGACAAUCCCAACUGUCCCAGAGUAACUCUGGUAGAACAUGUAAAGAGGGAGGAUUAUUGCUCUGACGGCUGUCCUAACAGAACCGUGACAGAUCAAGGACUAGAUGCCAAUACAACUAACCAGAAGGUAUUGAUCAUUUUUUUUACCAAGUUUUAGUGGUUCAUGGUUACAACAAUCACUCCUUUGCUUUGACUGUUAUGCAUUUUAUCCAUUUUUUUGACUUUUUGACCCCAUAUUGCAGGGUGGAUCUCGAAAGGCAACAAAUCAAACUUCAAAUCGUUGAGAAACCUAUUUCUCAGCCGCGUGCCUUACCCUUUUUAGGGAACUUGUUAAAUUCAUGAAGAACUACAGGUGAGAUCUGGCAAGCUGCUGCUCGCUCGACUGGAACGCUCGAACAAAGCCUGGAAUGAAGCAGAUGCCCAUCCCAACCGUCCCGGAGCAACUCUGGUAGAACAUGCCAAGAGAGAGGAUAUUGCUCUGGCUAAUGAAUGUUCUAACGCAACUGUGACAGAGUUCCGCUGACAAAUCCAGAAUUAGUUGCCAAUACAACAGCUAAGCAAAAGGUAUUGAUCAAUUCUUUUACCAAGUUUUAGUGGCUCAUGGUCCCGACAAUCACUCCAGUGCUGUCUCUGUUGUGCAUUUUAUCCAUAUCACUGAGACGCCUAUUUCUCAGCCGUGUGUCUCCUACCCUUUUUAGGAACUUAAAUUCAUGAAGUACACUACUAGUGAGAGCUGGCGCGCUGCUGCCCGCUCAACUGGAACGCUGUGGUGAAGCCUAGAACGCUCGAGCAAAGGGGCCAGCCCCAGUUGGAGGGGUCAUAAAUGCUAUUCCCUCUGUCCCAUAAGUGUCAAAAAACGUCUUACAUUAUGGGACGGAGCGAGUAUUUUCUAUGUGAUACUAUGAGAAUUUUGUUGUUGUUGAACUCUGUAUGCGAUUGUUUUAACUGAUUAAGAAUUAAGCUUGCCUCUUGGGCUGGAGCCUUGGUCUUAUUUACUGGAGUAUUCUCUUUUGUGUGUGUUGUAAGUUUACCCGGUGACUUUUAUCAACCGAAGAGAUGGAAAUGUACAGGAGAUGCAGGCUCUUCAUGGACCCUGUAUGCAUGCUUCUUUACAUCCCCUCUUGUGGCAUUUGCAACAAGGCAGGCUGGCCAUCUGAAAUUUACAAUAUUCUCUGGUGCACUUUUACAAUAUGAAUUGUCGUCCAACUGUUUAAAAGCAUGGGAUUGCAAAAGGCUCUGAAUGUUGGCCCUGUGUAUUGAAAACUCUGUAGAGGCCAGCUAUCGCACGGUUGGUUUAUAAGGUGUAAUACGUAUUUCGUGAUUUACUUCAUGAGUUAGACCAGAGAUAUGUUUUUCUUCUAUAAACUUGGUCAAACUUUACAGAAGCCGACUUAGAACAAAGCUAACACGUCUUGAUUUCAGACAUGAGGAACUAGAUGAUCGGGUUCACAGAAAUGAAACAGAUAGACAACGCCAUCAUUUACGGCAAACAUCACUUACACAGAAAUGAACAUGAUAAUUACUUGCACAGAAAUGAACAUGAUAAUUUUCUGGACAUAAUGUCAAGGCUCUGCUCUUGCUCAGGCUGCAGGAAAUCCCCAGUCUAGAUGCUACAGUUGAUUUGAUGUAUUGAAAAGAUAUGAACAUCUAAAAUACCUAAAUAAAUACUCCCUCGGUAAACUAAUAUAGGACGUUUUAGAGACUUGUGUAGGGAGUACAUACACUAGGGAAACACGGUUGAAGAUUUAUCAGCUGACGUUAAUUUGGUAUGGUAUUUUCUCGCUAAACUUUGGUCAGAGUUCACAAGGUUUGGCUCAGAAGUCAGAACAAAACUGACAUGUCAUGGAACGGACGGAGUAGAUAGUUACAUUCACAAAAAUGAACCUAGUAAACAAAUCAUUUACGGUGAACAACGCCCCCCCUCUUCACAAACUAGACAAAAAAGACAUCAGUUUGAGCAUGGCUACAAACUUGCAGCAGCAGCAUAGAAACCCAGCGGCCAGCUGUCGACUCAGUUUGCGCUACAGAUAUAUAGCUAAAAUUUAUCCACAACAAAUAAAAAAACAAAAUGGAGACCAACAUGCCACAUGACAACGCAUGACCGAAAUAAUGAGGGAAAAGGCUAGAUGCAUAUCCAUCUAGGGUUGCUGCAGGUAUAGCAAACUAGCCAUAUCAUAUUUGUCGCAGAUUUAAUCAAAUGCAUUAUUAUUUAGUUCUCUUCACAUGAAGAGGAUGACCAAAGCCUAUCAGGAUACAAAACUAGGAGGAUCACCAUCUAGAAUUUUUUUUGAAACCGUAGAAACCAAUGAAUCUCUGCAUAUCAGAAGAAAAACGAGCCUCUUCUGAAGAUAGACAUAACAGGGGAACUCAGUUUCAUUCCGGAACAAGAUUGCUCUAGAAAGAAAAGCUGGCCAUUGACUCUAGCUAGCAAAGAUCGGAUCACAAAACGAUAGAAGCUUCCACCAGAGUUUGUCUUUAGUCACAAUGCUCAUGAUCUCACUCCAGCAUCUUACUUAGCUGAUCUCACCUUCAUCCUUGAGCAAGAAGCCGCUCCACAGCAGCGAGGUCUCCUCCUUCGAGCAGGCCGUGGUGACGAUGGUCACGUUGAACCCUCCGAUGGUCUCAAAGAUCUCAAAGUGGUCCUCUAUCUCGGGGGAGAACUCGCAGAACUCCGUGGCCAUGAAGAACUUUACGCAGUUCCUCUGCUCGAUCGCCACCUUGGAGUCCAGCAUAGACAUCACCGUCAGGACCCUGACCAGGAAGUUGUACAUCCCGUGCCCUCGGAUGAUGCUCUGCCUCAGGGACACGGCGUCUUUCUGGGACCCCAGGUAUGCGUUGGUCGCCUUCCCUUUCAGAUGGGCAGGCAGUUCUGCCUGUAUGCACCUCUGGCCGCACAGAAUCUCCAUGGCCAGUUUCCCAAACUGGAUUUUGGCACCGGUGGUAGACUUGGGCACCAGUCGGAUCUCAAACAACCCAGGGACCUCCAUGGUGUUGGUGUGGUUCAGUUUGAGCAACAGAUCCUCACGCAACACAUCUUCAUAGUGGAAAUGGAGUGGGAACAUCAUGGCUUUUCCGCUUUUCGCGCCCUUGGCCUUUUUGCCCACCCGCCGUUUCUGUACAAACAGAUUAUUUAUUAGCAAUUUCCACCAUAAAUCAGUACUAAUCCACUACCAAUUGAAGGCAUCAUCAACGAAAUCACAACAUUAGAUGAAUUGAACAUCACAUGAUUAACCACACUUUGUCACUGCAUAACCCUCUUACAUUUUUCUCUAAUUCUUCCCCAUUUUAAAACAUAUACAAAAAGCUAAGUUGAAUCUGUAUGACGGUUACAGAAGAUAUAUAUUGAUAUGUCAUGGCUUAGCGUGACAAGUGUAAGCACUUUUUUUUUCUGAUCUCUUCUCAAUUCUUCAAGUAUCAUCAUCUCUACAUGAUAUUUUUCACAGAAUGUCUGCUGUUUUCUAAACUAGUAGCAGACUGUCGAUAUGAGAUUCAAUGGAUACAAUAUGGACAACCAGUAGAAGCAUGUUUCUAUCUGGUAGCAUUUAGUUACUUCCGUUUUAUUUUUAUUUUCUAUUUACAAUGUUAUGAAAAACUUUCGGCCAAGAAAAUGUUAAAACCUCUGCUGCUAUUCUACAUAUUUGGUCACAUAGCAGAUGUGGUUUUAAUUAUGUUUGACCUGAAUUAGUUCAGCACUUGGACGCUAGAUCAUUUUGUAUUAACUUAAUUAAUGGAAAAGUUACCUCUGAUUGACUACUGUGAUAAUUGAAUCAACUGAACUAUUUCUACUCUCUUUUCUCUACCAUCACUUUUAAACUCUUCUUUAUCCAGGCCAGCCAUCCAACACUUAUGUAAGAUUUCAAACUUUCAGCUACACGAUAUAGCAUGCUAUUCUCUAUUGACACCGUUUCCUCCGUUUACUAUCGGAUGCAAGAUGCUGCGAUAUGAGCAUUGCAUGCUGGCCUAGCAAUAAAGAAUGAGUUCAAAUUUCUCUGUUGUUAGGCAUAUGAAAAUCCAGUUGUAAUGGUGGUAUGCUGUCUUGAAAGAUAGUCCACUACACGCAUGAAUACCCAAUCCUUGUUUGCUGUGCUCUGUUUUUGGUGAAGUACAAGGCGGAUAAUGUCUAGCAAUAUCAGAAUGCAUGUAUUCGUGGAUAGUUCAUUAUAUAUAGUUAUAUACACAGAAAGUAGUGCAGUGCUGUUAGCCUGUAAAGCUCAUAUGACGUCCACAAAGUACACAAUUUAAGACAUUAUGGUGUGUGGUUCAAUUUAACAAAUGCAAUGUAUUGCCAGGGUAGAAUAGACCCACAAUCUCCCCUUGGUAAUAUCAUUCUGGUUUUCUGGUGCUAUUCUAAUAUGCUAGCUUUGAUUAUCUAUUGUACUUGCAUUUAUCCAGACCAAGAAAAGGAGGUGUUAUUUUUUCUCUGUGCUAAACUAUAUCCAUAUGGAUAUCAGCUAACUAUACACAUCAGUCAUUUCGUCCCGCGAUGGGCUGCUCGUUGACGAGUGCUCAUAGUGGGUUUCCCAGUGAUGCUUUGAUCUCGCCUUACCCCUUUCUCGUUUCCUUAUGCUGUAAUCGCUUAUGCUGGGCUGGUGUUCGCUGAAUGUUGAACUUUGUAUUUCCGUUAUGCAUUUAAUGGAAAGGGGUUGUGGCCCGGGUCAAAAAAAAAAAAUACACAUCAGUCAGGGCCUCACUUGCCGGCUCAGCAAAGCACGCAUAUUCUGUUAGCUGCUACUCAUACACAGACGGAUCCUACACUCACACACAAUUAGCACAACAUGACAGAUUCAGGGAGGGGAGUAACACACCUGCACUUCCAUGACAGGGAGAUCUGAAUCGACAUCGGCUGCUGCAGGGCUUGAGCUGCACACAUAUAGCACGAAAAGAAAAUUCUUUCAGCUCUUUCCACAAGCAAGAGGCAGGCUGGCAUGAGAGACUUGAGAUAGCAGCAGGAGAUGUACCUGAAGGCGCGGGCGAGUGGUGCAAGCCGCGAGAGCAGAGGAGGCACUCCGGCGUGCUGGCGCGCCCUGUAAGCCGCCUGACCAACGAAUCAAGGCCACAUCCACGCGCGGUGAGACCGCGAAACGCAGGCGCAGAUACAUCAGAUCAGUUCAGAGAUGGAUGCUGUAGACCCCCUGUGGAGAAAUUGCCCCGAGAGGAACGCGCGGGCGGGAAGGAAGCUGACCUGGGAGAUGGCGGCGGAGGCGAGGGCGUGGCGGCUGGACCUGGACGCGGCUGCGACGAGAGACCCGAUGGCCAUGGCUGCUGCCGCUCUCCCCAGCGAGCCCGCUAGGCGGACGGGAGAACGCGUCUGCGAAGCGAACGAGCGGCGAAUGGAGGCGGACCGCCGCCGGAGACGAGAGACCGGGUGACGGCGGGGCGGGNNNNNNNNNNNNNNNNNNNNNNNNNNNNNNNNNNNNNNNNNNNNNNNNNNNNNNNNNNNNNNNNNNNNNNNNNNNNNNNNNNNNNNNNNNNNNNNNNNNNNNNNNNNNNNNNNNNNNNNNNNNNNNNNNNNNNNNNNNNNNNNNNNNNNNNNNNNNNNNNNNNNNNNNNNNNNNNNNNNNNNNNNNNNNNNNNNNNNNNNNNNNNNNNNNNNNNNNNNNNNNNNNNNNNNNNNNNNNNNNNNNNNNNNNNNNNNNNNNNNNNNNNNNNNNNNNNNNNNNNNNNNNNNNNNNNNNNNNNNNNNNNNNNNNNNNNNNNNNNNNNNNNNNNNNNNNNNNNNNNNNNNNNNNNNNNNNNNNNNNNNNNNNNNNNNNNNNNNNNNNNNNNNNNNNNNNNNNNNNNNNNNNNNNNNNNNNNNNNNNNNNNNNNGGGCUGGGCUUUUUUAUUUUUUAGUUUCUACCGUGCGACUGCAACAGGCCCAGAAAUGGCCCGAGCUCUCUUUGAGCCCAAGCUAGCGAUAUGUUAUUAUCUCAAAAAAUAUAUUGCAGUUCGCAAACAAAAUCCCCUAAAACAAAUCUCAAAAAUUAUAUAGUGAUAUUGCGUGAUCUAUGAGCUUAGCUUUAUAAAGCCCAUUUUAUCCAGAGAGUGACGUCAACUAUAUGAUAUUAGCUAUUAUUCCCUCCGCUCCUAAAUAUUCCCUCUGUAAACUAAUAUAAAAGCGUUUAGAUCACUACUUUAGUAAUCUAAACACGAUCUAAACGCUCUUAUAUUAGUUUAUAGAGGAGUACAAGUCUUUUUAGAGAUUUCAAUAUAGACUACAUACAGAGCAAAAUUAGUGAACCUACACUUUUAAACACAUCUAUAUACAUCCGUAUGUAGUCUAUAUUGAAAUAUCUAAAAGGACAUAUAUUUAGAAUGGAUGGAGUUCAUCGUUGCAAGAAUGCCUCGUUCAACAACCCCCAUGUGGAUCCUAUCAUAGAGGAAUUAUGUUUGACGACCCUCCAGUCAGGGAAUCUAAGGCCCAUCGUGACCUGCUGCUAGUCGUCGUCGACAUCCUUAGGAGUCAGGGUCAUUUCUACUAGCAGCAAGGUCAAGAAAAAAUGUUGGUAUCCGCAAAAAAAAAUGUUGGAGAACACCGGAAAAGGCGUGCGCGUGCUUAGUUUGUGUGAGGGGCAUUACGACACCGUGUUGGGCGUCCUCAACAUAUGCAAUGCCAUGAUCAGGGAUUACCAAUGCAAUGAGGGCGGGCUACAGUCCAAAGAGCUAGUUAGUUGUGUGGAUAUGGCAUAUGAUUGUGUUGAUGAGUGCGGCUACGAGCUUAUUGAUAUGCCUGCGGUGGGGACUCUGGUCGAUGAAAACAAUGAAUUGGGCAUGCUGGUUAAACUGAACACUCCCUUGGUAGCAUCACAAGUGAUGUUUCUCGAGUAAUAUAAUGAUUGCUUUUAUCUAGGAGAGAAUAUGUUGAUGAGAAAUUAAUUGUACUCUUAAUAAUAACUAUAAUAAAUAUACUAAUAAAGCUGUUGUGGCAUCUAUUGUACUCUGAUAUAUUAGUAUGCAUGGUUCUGAACAUUUUCUUUAUUUUGCUAUGACAAGAGCUAGGAUUUUUCAUGAUUUUAAAUUAUGAAAUCAUUUUUUGCAAUUGACUUUCCUUUUAUUAUUUAAAGAAUAUGGGAUGCAGGAGUUUACACAUUUAAAAUUAUCAAAUAAUAUUCUUUUCUGUAAUUCAGUUUUCUUUUAUUUGCUUGGCACCCUUAUGCCUAACGAAUCAAUUACGGAACUACCCGAAAUUAGUCUGAAAAAAUAUAUUACCUUCAUAUUACCAAUGUGAAUAGUUUGUAGAGUAUAUCUAAUUUUUCAUUUUUGUUAAAUCUGCGCGAAGCCAUUCCAACCAGUAAUGCACAAGCAAAUUUGGACCUUAAGAGCAUCUCUAACAGCAUACCAAAAAAUGCAGCUUGAACAGAAAAAAUGAUUUAGGAGUAGUAUAUUUGGGUCUCUCUACUAGCAGGCGACAAAAAACCAAAUAACAGUAGCGACAGAAAACCAAAUAACGGUAGCGCUAUGUCUCAGUGGCCGAGUUCGGUCGUCGGCUACCUCAAGCCCCGACGCCCACCGAGGUCACUAUGCCACUGCCAUGUCCCGUCUUAAAUGUCUAAACGGUCUUACAAAAGUGAACAGAGGGAGUACCUUGUAUUACCAAUGUNNNNNNNNNNNNNNNNNNNNNNNNNNNNNNNNNNNNNNNNNNNNNNNNNNNNNNNNNNNNNNNNNNNNNNNNNNNNNNNNNNNNNNNNNNNNNNNNNNNNNNNNNNNNNNNNNNNNNNNNNNNNNNNNNNNNNNNNNNNNNNNNNNNNNNNNNNNNNNNNNNNNNNNNNNNNNNNNNNNNNNNNNNNNNNNNNNNNNNNNNNNNNNNNNNNNNNNNNNNNNNNNNNNNNNNNNNNNNNNNNNNNNNNNNNNNNNNNNNNNNNNNNNNNNNNNNNAUAUGGAUAAAGCCAGGCCAUUCCAACCAAUAGCACCAUUGUUUCUUGUAGACUAGAUAUUGCAAUUGUUUACCAAAUCCAAGAGCAAACUUGGAACAAAAAAGCAUCUCCAACAGCGCAUCGAAAAACACAGUUGUGAGAAAAACUGCUCCAUGCCCUCAACAACUGACCAAAACCUACAUGGAGACCAGUUUUUGUCACAUCCCAAAAAUUACUAUAGGUUCCCCCAAAAAAUUGCUACAGGAGUGGUACGUUUGGGCUUCUACUAGCAUGUGUAAAAAAAGGUGGUGCCAAACCUAACCACCGCCUCGUCAGGACCACCACGCGGCCCACAUCCUGACUCCGCCCCAUUUUGUCCCUCGACGUUGUCUGUCGGAGCCGCCCUAACACCCGACGAGGUCGCCACACUGACGCCCAGUCCCGUAGAUUUCGAUCGUUUCCUAGUUGUCACCGCCGCCGCGUCGCACCAAGAUGGUCGCCGUCACCACCCGACGAGCUCGAAUAGGAGACGGACAAGGUCCUGCGGCCGAAACUGCCAUCGAUGCACCCCCCCACCCCCACCCCUCGGGCCAGCCUUCGACCUCCCUUCUGUCGCCAUCCGGCUUCGCUCUCAUCACCGUUGAACUCCGGAAGUGAGCCUGGCGCACCCAACCCAACGUGUUCGACGAAAUGCCACAAAGGAAUUAUUAUGGAAUAUGAGUGUAGUUGAACUCCGGAAGUGAGCCUGGCGCACCCAACCCAACGUGUUCGACGAAAUGCCACAAAGGAAUUUUUAUUGAAUAUGAGUGUAGUUGCGGUAUGCUAUGAAUAUUGAUAGCUAAAAUAGAUGAUUUUACAUUGAAUUGUAAAUUGCCAUGAUUUUACAUUGAGCCGAAAUUGACAUUUUCUUUCAGUUUUUGGUCUGCUGGGGAAAGCAGAAUUUUUAUUGGAGAGAAAAAACCUUCUCUCUCCACUCCUAAAACCAGUUUUUGGUCUCCAAUGUUUUUUUGUCUGCUGUUAGAGAUGCUCUAAGCAGAGCAGACCCAUACCCAUUCCACUGUGACUUGAACAUUCGCAGUAACAAAAACGGUCAGAGAUUCAACAGUUUGUACACAGUCAUCAGUACCUACGACUUCAGAAGCUAGAACACACUUCCAAUGCUGCAACUGGCAAAAGAAAUUGUACGCGAGGAUACCACGCAGUCAGAAAAUCACAGCUUACAACAUGGCAUCAGCAUUGAGAAAAGCGAAUACAUCUGGUCUAGACAUGAGACUGCCGACACGCCGGGAGCUGUACCAAGCAUUGAACAAGCGAAUGCAUCUGGUCCACACGUCACCUUCUCUUCCUUGGAACCAACUCCUUUUCGACACGGCGUCAGCAUGUGUGGACAGAAGGAACAACACGAACUUUCUAUAUGAGCAAGGAACCAGUAAGAAUACGAGGCUGUCAAGUAGGAGUACAUAUAAUGGGCGGCAAAUAUAUCAGCUGCAGCAUGUCCAAAGUUUUCGAGUCGUUCUGAGGUAGCGACUCGUGAAUAGUUGAGCAUACAGUUGCGACUAGUCAUUUGACUCACAAACAGGGAGCAUGUCGACAGUGGAUAUUACAUUGCCCGGUAACGCUGUGAAUUACGUGAAAAGAACCUACCAAUUAGGGAUUAGCCUUCAAAUAUGUACCACUCCCUCCGUUCCUAAAUAUUUGUCUUUUUAGAGAUUUCAACAAGUGACUACAUACGGAGCAAAAUGAGUGAAUCUACACUCUAAAAUAUGUCUAUAUACAUCCGUAUGUGGUAGUCCAUUUAAAAUCUCUGAAAAGACAAAUAUUUAGAAACGGAGGCUGGUUUCAACGGCGCGCCGCCCCUCUCCCCCACUUGCUGCUCCUCCGUCGCCGGAUCACUUGGCUCUCUGUUGGCGCGCCGCCGCGGGAGUGAGGAGGGGAGAAGGAAAUGGGGAUCGUAUCAGGGGCCAGCUAGGGUUGGUUCAUGUGGGAGUUGGGCUGAUUCAACCUCAUGUGGGCUGGUUUUGGCAACAUGGUUAUUUUGGUCAUGCAUUUUGCACUGCAUAAUAAUAUGAAAAUUCACUUAAAAGGCAUAAUACCCCUAAAAAAGCAUAAUAAUAUGGAAAUAUGUUUAAAUCGUAUAGAAAUUGUCAAAUAGUGGAUUUCUUUUGGUAGAAGGAUCAACACAAUUUCUUAGAAGAGUUUUUGGCAAAAGAUCAACACAAUUUCUCAUAAGUGCAACUGCCGCUUUUUAGGGCAAGCGCAUAGCCAUGCAAUGGAGAGAAAACGGUGGAGAUAGGCCUAAUCGUUUUUCUGUUGGGGGAAAAAAGGAAAAUGGAUGAGAUCACGCGGAGACAUAACAGCUCUGGGAUUUGGUGAAUCCCCCUCUUCCACUCAAUCCCCUCACAUCCCCCAACUGGCACAAUCGCCUCCAUAUAUAACACUGUUUGGUAGGGAGGGAUUGCCAUAUUGAAUCAAAAAUGAUGCAAAACAGUUAACAAUCCAAUCUUGACAGGUUAAAUAGCAUCAUAGCUAGACAAACUUGCUAUAAAAUUGUAAAUGUCACCUAAUAAAAAC
rnacentral:lncRNA from 1 species